rnacentral:lncRNA from 1 species
GAAAGAUUAUUAUUCCCACAACAAAAACUGAAAACAAAUAACAGAAACUGCAUUAUUUUACAAACAAAUACUUUAGCAUGCACUAAAACUAUCGAUGCUUGGUCCAGAAAACAUUCAAUCUCCACUCUAACCCAUUUGACAACAUAAUUAUUUGUUAGAAAAAUCGCCAGAAGGAAACAACCAAACUCAAAACCUCUAAAGCUAACCAGCCAUGAAAAUAAAUCUAACCUUACAGCAGUGAAAACAAAGCAUGUGCCGACUAGAGAAGAAGACGAGUAAAAUUGGACAAGCAUUAAAUUUUACGACUGGAUAAGACCUAAUAAUAGAACUUGUAUUUAGAAAGAUUAAACAUGCAAGAACCACAAUAUCUGGAUACAGCGACAUACAGUUGAUAGAUUUUAUAUCUGUGAUCACAUAAGUUCAAUUACUGUCCAAAAAUAGAUAGGUAGCAAGCAAACCAAACCAAGUUUCCAAAGGCAGCUGCUUUAACUCUUAUCAAUUUUUACAGCCAUCACCAUCUGUUUGGAAGUCCAAGCAAAGGGUUCUGCUGGAUCUGCUGCGAAGGUAAAAGCAACUUGUCCAGUACUAGUUUGCAGAUUUUUUCUUCCUAAAAGUGAACUUUCACAGGCAUUUUGGACAAAAGAUGUCCUGUAACAGUAAUUUGCUUUGCUGGAGAUGUUUUUAUUCUCAGAUCACCAUCUAAUAUGCUGGGAACGCACCACAGACAAGUCACUCUUCAACAACAUUCACGAGUUCAUACUCAAUCAGGGAUAGGUUGUUGUCUUCCUUCACAGUGAAACUGGCAGGUUCAGCUACUUCAACACGUCCCCACUUGUCAACAGCAAGCCUCAUUGAUCCUUUAAACAUGUCGAUUUUUGCAUUGCGAAGGAUUAUAGUAGUUCCUUCUUUCACCAAGUCCACUAUACAUGAUGAAAAACAAACACAUUAAACUAAACCAUCUCAACUGGAAAAUCUCAAAACAUGUACAUAAAUUUAGGAAGAUAAUUACUUUUCAAGAUGCAAAUAACCAUGAAUACUGAUCAUGCUUGUACUUUUGCACAAUUAGAUAGUUAAUUAUUAGUUUCCCUUUCAACAGAUAAUAAUUCAACAAACAAAGGAUUUUAUGUACGCCAAGAAGUAUUUGUAAAUGAAGAACUCUUUGAAAUCAGCAAAGCUCAUAAAUCUAUUAUCCAAAACAACUCUUCUAGUGUUACUCACAUCAAGGCACCAAGCUACUUCAAGUAGCCUAUCAAGAAUUCAUGAAAAAUUACAAACAAUGGAACGCCAAAAUAAGUAACUACAACCAUUCUUCUGCCUCCAGUUAUUUUGUACGGAAAUUUGAUAAUAUAAAGCAAACAAGAUAUUUGAUCCUAUGAUAAAUUUAAAAAUAAAAAAAGGGCAAACCAACUACCAUUUUGUUCAUUUAAAAAUAGGUAAAAAUUUGGCUUAGUACGAAAAUGAUUAAAACAUUAGGGCAUGCAUCAGCAUAAGUGAUAAGCGGAUUGCUUCUUUAGUUGAUUGUGGCAUUUUAAUAGUCUGAUUAAGGUAAAUCAUUGUGACUCCAUGAGGAAAAGAGUUCUAACAAAAAAAUGAGCAAAUGCCAAUACACUGCCAUUAAUACAAUCUAACCAACACUAUAAAAGGCCUUUCAAACUAUUUAAAUUUGACAGUUAAAAGAACAAAGACAUUUGCUCCCAAGGGAAAAUGGCUUAAAAAUCACCAUCCCAAGCACUAAUGUUCAGACAAAGCUGGGACAAAUAAACUAAAUGUCUAGAAUAACUAGAUUUUUUAAUUGCCAUUUCCAAAAUAUUUAAAAGCAUGUACCUGGACACAGAUACAGAGUGAAGAAAAACAAAAUACCUUGAUCAUUUCUAGCUGUGAAGAUAAUCAUUCCUGUCUCAUCUCCUACCAAACAUUCAGCAAUUCGCAUUUGGCGUAUUUUUCUUAGGCAGUGGAAAGAUUAUUAUUCCCACAACAAAAACUGAAAACAAAUAACAGAAACUGCAUUAUUUUACAAACAAAUACUUUAGCAUGCACUAAAACUAUCGAUGCUUGGUCCAGAAAACAUUCAAUCUCCACUCUAACCCAUUUGACAACAUAAUUAUUUGUUAGAAAAAUCGCCAGAAGGAAACAACCAAACUCAAAACCUCUAAAGCUAACCAGCCAUGAAAAUAAAUCUAACCUUACAGCAGUGAAAACAAAGCAUGUGCCGACUAGAGAAGAAGACGAGUAAAAUUGGACAAGCAUUAAAUUUUACGACUGGAUAAGACCUAAUAAUAGAACUUGUAUUUAGAAAGAUUAAACAUGCAAGAACCACAAUAUCUGGAUACAGCGACAUACAGUUGAUAGAUUUUAUAUCUGUGAUCACAUAAGUUCAAUUACUGUCCAAAAAUAGAUAGGUAGCAAGCAAACCAAACCAAGUUUCCAAAGGCAGCUGCUUUAACUCUUAUCAAUUUUUACAGCCAUCACCAUCUGUUUGGAAGUCCAAGCAAAGGGUUCUGCUGGAUCUGCUGCGAAGGUAAAAGCAACUUGUCCAGUACUAGUUUGCAGAUUUUUUCUUCCUAAAAGUGAACUUUCACAGGCAUUUUGGACAAAAGAUGUCCUGUAACAGUAAUUUGCUUUGCUGGAGAUGUUUUUAUUCUCAGAUCACCAUCUAAUAUGCUGGGAACGCACCACAGACAAGUCACUCUUCAACAACAUUCACGAGUUCAUACUCAAUCAGGGAUAGGUUGUUGUCUUCCUUCACAGUGAAACUGGCAGGUUCAGCUACUUCAACACGUCCCCACUUGUCAACAGCAAGCCUCAUUGAUCCUUUAAACAUGUCGAUUUUUGCAUUGCGAAGGAUUAUAGUAGUUCCUUCUUUCACCAAGUCCACUAUACAUGAUGAAAAACAAACACAUUAAACUAAACCAUCUCAACUGGAAAAUCUCAAAACAUGUACAUAAAUUUAGGAAGAUAAUUACUUUUCAAGAUGCAAAUAACCAUGAAUACUGAUCAUGCUUGUACUUUUGCACAAUUAGAUAGUUAAUUAUUAGUUUCCCUUUCAACAGAUAAUAAUUCAACAAACAAAGGAUUUUAUGUACGCCAAGAAGUAUUUGUAAAUGAAGAACUCUUUGAAAUCAGCAAAGCUCAUAAAUCUAUUAUCCAAAACAACUCUUCUAGUGUUACUCACAUCAAGGCACCAAGCUACUUCAAGUAGCCUAUCAAGAAUUCAUGAAAAAUUACAAACAAUGGAACGCCAAAAUAAGUAACUACAACCAUUCUUCUGCCUCCAGUUAUUUUGUACGGAAAUUUGAUAAUAUAAAGCAAACAAGAUAUUUGAUCCUAUGAUAAAUUUAAAAAUAAAAAAAGGGCAAACCAACUACCAUUUUGUUCAUUUAAAAAUAGGUAAAAAUUUGGCUUAGUACGAAAAUGAUUAAAACAUUAGGGCAUGCAUCAGCAUAAGUGAUAAGCGGAUUGCUUCUUUAGUUGAUUGUGGCAUUUUAAUAGUCUGAUUAAGGUAAAUCAUUGUGACUCCAUGAGGAAAAGAGUUCUAACAAAAAAAUGAGCAAAUGCCAAUACACUGCCAUUAAUACAAUCUAACCAACACUAUAAAAGGCCUUUCAAACUAUUUAAAUUUGACAGUUAAAAGAACAAAGACAUUUGCUCCCAAGGGAAAAUGGCUUAAAAAUCACCAUCCCAAGCACUAAUGUUCAGACAAAGCUGGGACAAAUAAACUAAAUGUCUAGAAUAACUAGAUUUUUUAAUUGCCAUUUCCAAAAUAUUUAAAAGCAUGUACCUGGACACAGAUACAGAGUGAAGAAAAACAAAAUACCUUGAUCAUUUCUAGCUGUGAAGAUAAUCAUUCCUGUCUCAUCUCCUACCAAACAUUCAGCAAUUCGCAUUUGGCGUAUUUGAGGACCAUCAGCACGACCUUUCUGCAAGACCAUCUUUGUACUUACAACUUUCACAGUGAGAGUAUGCCCACUGGUGCCUGGGCGUAGCUGGUCAACCUUGGUGAAUACAGGCUUCCUCAAUCCUGGUUUUGAAUCGGCCAUUUUUUCAGGAACCCUGCAUAAAAAUGAAGAAUAAAACGUUUAACUAGAGGAAAUAGUAAGUUAAGAAAGAUAAAAUCACUAAAUCCCUGCACACAGCUGCAUGCAAACUAAAGCAAAGAAAAAGAUAACUAGAUAUAUUUUUUAAAAAAAGAAAGAGGCACAUGGCCAAAUAAAUUCAGCCUGAAAUAUUGGACCUUUCAAAAACCAGUAAAGAAACAUCUGUUUGGCUGUUCCGACAUUUUUUGUUUGGAUAGGCUGAUUCAAAAUUUUCCCGUUGCAAUUAAGCAAACAAAACAUUCCCAACAAAGAUACAAACAUAAGCCCAUAAGAACCAAUUCAACUUGACAAGAAAAUAAACCAAAAACUAAAAGUAAAAUCAAGCAGCCUCAUUUCAGUCGAUCAUCUAAUAUGUAGAACAGAUAAAUCCAAAUAAGAAGCUCAAAAAAAAAAAAAAAAUGGAGGCAAUAAUCCACGAAUUUCACAUAAAAUUACAUAGUUAAACAACACCGUUAUCUCUAUAGCACAGUAAUCUCGAAUUUGACAGCUUGAGAAACAGAUCAGAGAUCAAUAACAAUUCCAUGAUUAUAGCUUAACAAUAUCAUAAAUUAAAACCCUAUUUUAGAAGUAAUUAGGGUUGGAAUGAUAAUCGGCAAUAAGCAUAAGCAAAAGCAAAAAAGGAUAUCAAUUAAAGAGAAAAGAAAUGGAAAAUGAAAGAGCUUAAGGUUUGGUGAUUACCUGUUGGAAGAGUAAUUGGGAAGUGGAGAUUGAGAGAGAUGAGAGAUCUGACUGAGAGAUUAUGCAAGGAAGCAGUCCGAGUCGGCUGUUGAAGUAGCAGUGAAGUUGUUUUGGUGGCGACGACUGAAUAGGGACCGUUGAUCCUUGAUUAGACAAAAACCGAUCUCACUCUACACGUGACAAUCCCAUCUAAGAUGGAUCCUUGUUUGGUUGUUGGCUAUUCUUACUCUUCAAAUGGAUAUGGGCUUACCGUAUUCUCCGUUUAUCUUCUCUUUCUUUUUUCUUUUUUGUUAAAGAGAAAAUAAUAAAUUCAUCCUCUGUUAUACUUCCUUUUAUUAAAAGGAAAAAUAAUAAAUUCGUCAUAAGUUAUAAUUAAAUUAAUAAAUAAAAAUUUUUAUUUUUAAAAAUUAACUAUGAAAACUCUAAUUAUAAUUUUAUUAACACUUUGAUCUUUCUGUUCAAAAUAGAAGGAUCGAAGUGUUAACUAUAAUUAUAAAUUAAAAAUUUAAUUGUUAAUUUAACUAAAAUUUAGGAAUUAAUUUUUUACUCUUCAACUCUUCAAAUGGAUAAGAGCUUAUCAUAUCCCAUGAUUUUUUUUUUCUUUUCUUUUUAUUAAAGAGAAAAUAAUAUAUUCGUCUAUGAACUGUAGUCAAAUAAUAUAUUCGUCUAUUAGGUCCUUAAUUAUAAAACUAAUAGCAAUAAAACCUUAUUAAUUAUGUCAUAAUAGUGAUAGCAGAAAUAAUAGUAAUAAUUUAAAUUCCUAAAGUUUUUGAGUUCAUUUUUAUUUUUUCAGUAUUUUUAAUGGAUAAUAAUAUUAAUAACAUAAUUAGUUUUAAAAUAAAUUUAAGUUAGUGGUUUUUUAAAAUUUUAUAAUUAAAAUUAAUUGUAUAUCCGUAAUAUGUAUAAUGUUGAGGAUGAUAGUGAUAUCGUCUGAAUUGAGCACCGUUUACAGCUUAAAUUUCUAAAGCGACUCUCAAUGCGUGCCAAAAGUCUAAAACGACAUGAAUUAGCAGAAAGAUGGUGUGUAUAUUUUGCAACCUCACUUCUCUUUCCCACAAAAAGGUGAAACGCCAAGUCGCUUUCUGGUGAAAUACCAGAAGAGCUAACCAACCAACACAUGUCAUGCACUCACUGGAAAACCACAAACUUGAGUAGAUAUUUUUGCAAUUUAUUUACUCAUGCAGAGCAUAGAAUGCAGAGAGAAAAGAUAAGCCAUUAACAGUCGGAAACAUGGAAGCCACAAUAACAAACCCCAAAUUCACAACCUUUCACUCUCUCUCCUCCAACCUUUCGCCACCAUUUUCUCUGAGAUUUUCCCUUACUUUCGCGGAAAAUACUAGAAAGAAUUCCACCUCUCUUAGGCAAACUUCCUCAUUCUCUCACAUUCCUUUAAGAGUAUCUGCAAAUUCCCAAGCAGCACCUGCUUCAGCCCAAGCAACCAAAGUUUCCUUUGUACCUUCUGAAAUGAAGGCCUGGGUAUAUGGAGAAUAUGGAGGUGUUGAUGUUUUGAAGUUUGAUGAUAAAGUUUCGGUGCCUGAAGUGAAAGACGAUCAGGUUUUGAUCAAGGUUGCUGCUGCUGCUCUUAACCCAGUUGAUUUCAAGAGAAGACAGGGCAAGUUCAAGGCCACUGAUUCUCUUCUUCCGGUAUCUUUCUUCCUUUGUUUCUCUUUUCUCUGUUUGUUUGCUUGUGAAAAUGUACCUCAGUUUAUUUUCUUUUCCCUCUCAUAUCUUGGAAAAUAAAUGUGCAGUAACUAAUUUGCUUAAUUGGGUUCUGAAGGAAGAAUUUGGAAAGGAAAAGGAAACGUAAUUUUCAAUUUUUAUUGUAGGUGCAUUUCUCCAAGCAGGUUGUAGCUUGUAGGAAAGGUUUUCUGUUGUGUUGCCUAUAAUUUUUUUUUCUUUUAAUGUGAAUGAAUAAGUAAUAAGCCAAAAGGGUUUUAAUUUUUCCUGUAGACUGUUCCAGGAUAUGAUGUUGCUGGGGUGGUGGUAAAAGUUGGCAGUCAAGUGAAGGGACUAAAAGAGGGUGAUGAAGUAUAUGGUGACAUACAUGAGAAAGCACUGGAAGGGCCUAAACAAUUUGGCUCAUUGGCUGAAUAUACUGCUGUUGAAGAGAAGCUAUUGGCCUUGAAACCCAAAAAUCUGGAUUUUGCACAGGCUGCUUCACUUCCUCUUGCUAUUGAGACAGCAUAUGAGGGUCUUGAGAAAACUGGUUUUUCUGCUGGUAAAUCUAUUCUCGUUUUGAACGGUUCUGGUGGUGUUGGAAGCCUAGUUAUUCAGGUAUGCAAUUCCAGGCAAUUACGGAUUUGAUAAUACUUUCUCUGCCAAUGCCAUUUGAUUAAUUGUUUAUUAUUGCAAAACAUAACUGCUUGAUCAUUAAGUAGUAAGUGCAGAACAUAUUUGCUUCCUAUCUAAUAACAAGUUGCUUGGCGGAAGUCUAACAUAAAAGAUUAGUUGAAGUACUUAUUUUACUGCUUUUGAAGGACAGAUUAGUACUCUUUCUACAAUUAUCAAAAGAAUUUAAUAAAAAUUGAGUUGAUUUCAAAUAGCAUCUGACGCCAACAGAAGCUUUAUUGCCUUCAAUUUCAUUUUUCUAUUUCUCAUCCAUAUAUGGUUAGUUGGAUACAAUAUAAACUCCUUAGUAUGCUUCACUGAUGAAUGUACUUUGUUUUCAAAGUUAUAAUAAGUUUCUUUAUCAAUAAUGUAAUUGUCUAUUUCUGAUUCUUAUUUAUUGCGAGUGCUUUUAUUCUCUUCUGCUCUUGAUUAUGUAUGGCUUCCCUCAACUCGUGUUUCGUGUCAAACUUGUUUUGGUUGCCAAUCAAAGCAUCUUGUAGGGCUGUUAAACUUAUGUGUUAAUGACUAAUCUUCAUCCACUGACUAAUGAAACCAAAGGAAAUGAAAUUUUGUGUCAAUUAAUAAUAGCAAAGAAGAUUGAACCUUUAAUUGCUCGGACUUGGGAAUAGGAUCUGUUCUGCUGACCUCAAAUUCCUCAAAUAUGCCGCUAUAAUGAUUACAGAAUAAUUUAAAAGGCAAAUAGAAACACUUGUUCUAUCCUUUACAUGUUAUGCAUAUAAACUCUUAUAUGCUUGGUGCAGCUCGCAAAACAUGUAUUCGGUGCUUCUAGAAUUGCAGCUACUUCAAGCACUAGAAAUUUGGAACUGUUAAAGAGUCUGGGUGCUGAUUUGGCUAUUGACUACACUAAGGAGAACUUCGAAGAUUUGCCAGAAAAGUUCGAUGUAGUCUAUGAUGCUAUUGGUAAGAUUUUGUACUGAUUGUUGUUUUGGGAAGGUAUUGUCAUUGAGCUUUGUCCAUCACAAACUAAGUAGCCAAUAAUUAGUUAUCAGUCCUGCAGUGCAAUUAGUCAAGGCCUGAAAUACCAAUCAAGAAAAGUUCUAACCUGUUUUGGGUGAUAUAAUCAGGCUUUAACCGGUUUGAACACAAAUGAAAGAUACAAUUAAUUAUAAUAGAUUUCUUGAUGACUAAAUGUGAUCAGUACUAUUAGCACCUUUAAUUCAUCUUAAGAUUGCUUCCAGUCAGCUGAAACUAAAUCUUUUUUGUUUUUUUCUCUUUUUCCAUGAUAGGUCAAUGUGAUAGAGCAGUGAAGGCUAUCAAAGAAGGGGGCAGCGUAGUGGCCUUAACUGGUGCAGUCACACCACCUGGUUUCAGAUUUGUGGUCACUUCCAAUGGAGAAGUUCUUAAGAAACUAAACCCAUUCUUGGAAAGUGGAAAAAUAAAGCCAGUGAUUGAUCCUAAAGGGCCAUUCGCAUUUUCUCAGGUUGCUGAGGCUUUCUCCUAUAUUGAAACAGGCAGAGCUACUGGCAAGGUAGUUAUACAUCCAAUUCCCUGAAAAUGCAGAAAAUAGGACCUUUUUGUAAUGCGUAUCUCCUAACUUGUAUCAAAGUGUUAGAAUCAAUAUGUGGAUGUAUAAAUACAUUUUAUGAGGUUUAAAUUGAAAUUUUGAGUGCUCACAUGCAUUAUCAGACAGUGGUUUCUAGGCUUCAAACUUGUUUGUCAAUUUGAGUUUCAGUAAAAGGUAUCUAACUUCAAGCGCUUGAGAGUUGCACUUUUUGAGCUGGGGGAGAUAGACUGGGCAUGAAAAUAGGAACAUGGGCCUUUCUGAAUCCCUCAAUUUUGAAGAGUGAUACAGAAACAUAAACUGUUACUGGACCUUUGCCCAUAGGUAUUAAGCUUUUAGAUUGACUAAUGAAACACGGAGUUUCAGCGUAUGUUGCACUGAUAUCAAACAACAAUAUCUUUUUUGUUUGUUAGAAGGUUGAAUGAACCGAAAUACUUUAUAGAUUAUAUAAUAUGGAUUGAAAACUCUAGUGGUCGAAAAAAUUUGAAUUUAAAAUUUUUAACUUUUUUAUAUUAGUGUAAAAACUAAAUAGGUCGUACCUAAUUGACAGUUCAAACAAUAUUAUCAAACACAUUAAGUUAAGGGAUUUCAUGUUUAUCCAAGCUUUGGCUCUUGGAUUUGAUUUUCUGAUAAAUAAAAACCUUAUCUAUCUCCUUACAUGCUAGAGUAGUACAACAGAAGCUAAGCAUUGAAGUCACUUGACCAGGCAUAUGCAAAAAAUUCAAUGCAUUUAAAAUUUUGAAUUUAUGUAUUUAUGGUUGUAGGUGAUGAAAAGGUUGAAUCUCAUGUCCAUAAUUAGACAAUGCAUGGAUGUGAUGUGGCCUGCAUUUAUGCCACUUCUAUUGCCAUCACAAAUCUGUCCACUUUCCCGAGUAGCUAGUUGGAAUGGCUAUAAAGAUGACACGUCUACUAGACAUUAAUGGUUAUAAAAAUAUUCGUUAUUGAAGAAACCUUGAUUUAAAUUACUGCAUACUUUUACAAACAAUUUCAAAUCCAAAAUCUAGGGCAGCACGGCCCAUAAGGGCAAAAAUUAAAUACUUGAAUAAUAUUUUGCUUGAAUUAGUAAGAGUUUGCUUGGACGCAUACGUGUAUGAUAUAAAUAAUCACAUAUGUGAAAUUGCUAUUAAAUUUUAAAGUUUUAUUCGAAUAACACCCUAAAAUUUUCGAAAAACCUAUUAUCGCGAUCUAGGAUUUAUAAAUAUAAUUGUUACUAACAAUUUUUAGAUCCCAUCAUGCUUUUGAAAUUAAGUACUUAUUUAUAAUAAAAAUUAAAACUUUAAUCAAAGUUGCGAUGGAUUUUUUAAAAAUUUUAGGAUAACACAAGGAUGAAAUUCUAAAAUUUAUGGCAAUUUUAUGCAUUAGGGCAUGAUAUAAAGAUAACAUGGCGAAGGAUUUUCACUUGUACAUAAUUUGGCCACAUAUGCUUAUAUGUCUGAAAAUUAAAGCGGCUAGCUACCUACCAAUGCCGAAGGCACAAUAAAUAUUUAAAGAACCUUCCCCAUACUCUCUGUUGCAAAGGCAGUUAAAGAAAGGAAAAUGAAGGCAGAGAAGGAUCAGUUCAAGAAACGGUUUUGGACAAAAGAGGAAGAUAGGAUUUUAAUGGAGUAUAUUAGAGUAAAUGGAGGAGGAAGAUGGAACCGCAUUUCUCAAUUAACAGGUAAUUAAUAACUAAUUACUUAAGAACUAUAUAUACAUAUAGCAAAACUUAAUUUUUUAGGUAUAUUGCAUAGGUUUGAGAAGGUGUGGAAAGAGCUGCAGAUUAAGAUGGCUGAACUAUCUAAGCCCUAAUGUCAACCAUGCUGAUUUCUCUCAAGAGGAAGAUGAUCUUAUUAUUAGACUCCAUAACCUCCUCGGAAAUAGGUAUUUCUCUUCUUCUCUUUUACUGUUCUUUUGUUAAAGUUUAAAUUUACAAUCUCACAGUUCUAAAUACAGGUGGUCUCUGAUAGCCGGAAGACUGCCCGGAAGGACGGCUAACCAAGUAAAGAACCAUUGGAAUUGUCAUUUGCGCAAAAGACUUGGCUUAAAAAAGCAAGCAAGAAAACCAGUCAUUAGGUCAUCAUCCAAAACUGAAAUUCAAGAAAUUAAUAACUCCGGUCAGUUUCUACAAAAUGGCAAGGCUAUAAUAAAUAAUGAAGACCCUUUUGGUGUCGGUACUGAUUCUUCCAAUGGAGGAGAAGCACAGCUUCAAGUUGAUGAUUUAUCAUUAUUUUAUAAUGAUGAUGAUUUUUUCAAUUUGAAUAGCCAGAUUUAGUGGAUUUUUUCAAUUAAUUUCAAACCCUGGUAGUCUUUAAAUAAAUAAUAAUUAAAUAGAUAAAGUUUUUUUUUUUAUCAUAUAUGUCUCCAAAUUCCAAUAAUAUCAACGAAAAAGAAAGAAUUGAUCAGGAAUUAGCUAAAUGGUAUUGGAAAGUUCUCUCUUCUGCCUGCAAUUAAGUUCAAAUACUAAUCAGAAUCUAUAAUUAAAAAAGAAAAGAAAAGAAAUAUUAAAUAAACUGCAAAAACUAAAUUGGAAGGCAAAUUAAAUACAAUAAUGCAGACUCUUGUUUCUUUCAGCUUCAACAAACAUUAUUGAUUUGGAAAAUUUACAGUUUCCAAUGCAACAAGAGAGAUGAUCUUUUUGAAAUGGGAAGAAUGAAGAAGCUUAACUAGUUCAUACAACAACAGGAGGAGUAAUCUUGAAAUCAAGAUUCCAAAGCUCAAAAUUUCCAUUGACAAAAUCGUAAUGUGCUCCUUUCAAUGCCAGAGUUUUCUUCAACACUCCCUCUUUAACAAAUGGAUAUGUCAACAGGUUUCCCAGUGAUACAUUCACAGCCUCCUGCAACUCAUCAAUAAUACAAUGUUUAAUUACAGAAUAGCACAUGAGGUUCGUCUUGACAUACAUUCCGAUCCUUACAAUUUUAAUUCUCCAGUGAGAUUUGUUUUAAUCAAACAAUAUUUCAGUUUAGAACAAUCACAAAUUAUAAUUAAGCACCAUGAGCUAGAUUAAUUAAUUUCUUUAUCUAUUAUUUUUGUGUUGCUUUCUUGCUACUAGUCACAUGGCCAAACUAGAAUCUGAUGCCAAGUUUCAUUUUGUCGGUAGUCUUUAAACAUAAGGGUUGACCUUGGAAUCUUCUUUCUCUGUAUCUUAUGUUGAAGCCUUAUCUUUAACUUAAACAUGAUUAAUUAUAAUAAUAAACUAUAAUCAAGAAACAACAUAAAAAGUUGCAGCAUUUAUUGUAUAUGUAAUUAACUAUUUUUCUUGAGUUGUAUUUAACUAUUUAUAACUUGCCUUCUCACAGUUGUGGCACUGCUCUUCAAAACUUAAGCUGCUACACCGUGUCUUCACCUUAGACUUUGCGGCCGAACAGAUGCUGACCCAAUUUUCUAUGAAGUCACUACGUAAAAAUAAAAGUGUAAGAAAUUUAAUUAAUUAAAACUAAAAAAUAAAAAAGAAACUUGAGAAUAGGACAAUUCUUGACUGGACAUCCAUUUUCAUAACACAAAAAAAAAGGGGGUUGCAGUGAACUUUAUAGAAGCAAAAACAGAGAGAAGAAAAAGGUCUACUCCAUACUAUAUGAUUUUGAAGUUGCACAAACACCAAUUGAUCAACAUAUGCAUAUUCCUUCGCAUAUGAUUGUUAAAUCUACCACUUGUAUCGUUCUGUCUCUUUUAAAAUUUUGAAAGGUGUCUUUCUUGCUUUUCUUUUUAACUUUUCUUUUUAGAUUCCUCUCCAAGAAUAUGGCACCACUUAAUAAACUAAUUUUUCCUAAUUAUUUUUAGUAAUUAUGUAGAGUAGGAAACAAGAAAGUGAUAGGAGAGAAACUAAAAAAGGAACAUAUUUUUAUAUAAUUCAUGAGAAAUGCAUCACAUGGUGGGAGAAUCUAACUUUUGGAAACUCAAGAAGAGCCAAAAUCAUUAAAAUGCUAUACUAUUCAUGUUUAUUCUCCUAAAUUCCUUAAUCCAAUCUAAUUUAGUUGUGUGAUUUAAGGAUGAUUACCUAGAAGUGCUCCCAUCAUCUGGGAUAGACAUUAGCCCCUUAAUACCACCACAGCAACUAUGGCCAAUGACUACAAUAUUCUCCACCUGAACUCAGACAACAGAGAAGAAAAAAUUAACUAUUAACUACCCAUUUUUGGUAUGCAUGGAGGCAAGGCAACAGAAGAAGCAAAUACACUUCAUUAAAAAGAAAAAAUAAAAUAUUAUCAAAACUAUAAAAUGGUCGGAGCCAUUUGGUAAUAUUAUUAAUGAAAAAUGAGUAAAGAAGGUUGCAGGAAGCAAUGAGUAAUGACUAGACAUCACGUUUCCCCCCACCAAGGUUGGACGCGAAGAGCCACCACCAUUAAGAUUUUGACCUGAUGACGUGUUAAAGAGUAAAAGUUACUAUAUUGUAGUAAUUUAUUUUUACCUUUAGAUGCAGUACUGCAUAUUCAAUGGCUGCCCCCAUUCCUGAGUAUUUUGUCUGCAGGCAAAAGAAAACAUAAAACAAACAUAUAUCUAGAAAUAAAAUCAUUUAACUUAUUUUAUGUAAUUGUAUCCGGAUCCGGAUAGGAUACAAAUAGCGCAAUUCCAAAAAAAAAAAAAAUAAAUAAAAUAAUAAUUUCUGAAAACUUAUACUAAAAUUUGUAGAUUAGGAAAGAGUUGUUUUUAAUUAUUGAACAAACCUGGUCAUAUGGUGGGACCAUGCUGGCAAUGUUUCGGACCAUAAAGGCCUCUCCUGGUUGGAAAUUGAGGAUGUGAGAAGGACAAACGCGAGAAUCUGAGCAAGCAAAAACCAGAAACUGCAUAUACAUUAAAAAAAAUGUUUCUUCAUUAGUUAAUUUGAUGAAUAAUUCAUUAAAUUAAGAAUAAAUAAAUAAAAAUUAGUAAAACAAAGCAAUCAUUGUAUGCAUGGAAACCCCACUUGAUUCGCUGGAUACAUGAAAAUAAUGUAUAUAGUAAUAGUAGGAAAAAAUAUUUUUUAUUUAUUUAUUGGGAGUCAAAAAAAAAUUUAAUAUAUUAAUUAGGAGAACCACUCACCUUUGGGCUUUGGCCUUUGGCAAGUUCACCGUACAAGGUAGGAUCUUUCCUGAAAAUUGUCCGACAAAUGCAUUAUUACCCCAAUUGUAUAUGUUCUUUCAACCUUUUGCAAUUUUUACGAUUAAGACUAUGGUAUACAUACAUUUAUGCUAUUAAUUAAGAGAAAAUUUUUUUUAUUGAAUUAGUAAUAAUAUAACAAAUGAAUUGAAUUAUACAUAGUUUUUAAUUUGAAAAAUAUUUAAUAAUAAUAAAGAAAAGGAUCAAAAUAAAUAAAUAAAUAUAUAUAUAUAUAUAUAUAGUAAUGAUUUGACCAAUGGUUCUUGACUGGCAUCAGCAAAAUCAGCCAAACGUACAAAAAUAGAUCAGAUAAGGAUCAAACGGACAGCAUAUUCCGCGAAAACAACCUAAGAGAAAAAAAAAGUACAAUACAUACUCAUAUUUCUCUGUCUUAAAGUGGACGAAGCCGGCUUUCAUCCGCUGCUCCGCGUUAAAUUCAGCUGAACCGGCCGCCUCUAGUUCCGCCGUUAUCUGCUUGAUUUUCGCAGCGGCGACGCUCCCGAGGUCGGCUUUUUCACUGUCAAUAAUGAGGACGGAUCAAAGUACAACCACCAAAAGGACAGUCAGUUAUAAAUCGUUGGGGUCUGACGUGGGACCUAUCCUGAAGAAGGGCCUAAUCUAAGCCGCUCAUUUCAAUGGGCCCCACGUCGUAAAAAAACUGACUCUAUAAGGCGUCUAUCCAUCAUCAGCAAUUAGCAAGAAGAUUAAUGAAGGCUUUGCUUUGGAUUAAUGAGGAACAAAAUAAUUUUAAAUUAUAGUACAAGACAAAAGUAAAUCAAUUCUAUAUGUCAGAUUUGUAAUUUGUUUGUUUGGACGAUGAAAGGACAGAGAAGCAUAAAAGACAGUACCUCAGAAGCUUUGACAGUCCUGCAAUGGCUUCCUCGUAUGAAUCGUUUGCCAUGUCUUCUUCCUUCUGUUAAAAUAAUAAAAACGAAAGAGAUUAAAUCAUCAUCAUCAAAAACUAAACAGCUAAUUAACGAAUCAUCAAUUCCUGAAGCUCUCAUUAACCCAAAACAUAACAAACGCAGCGGUUUCCAAUUGAAGUAUCCAGAGGAUCAGAAGAUAGAAAAUUCAAAAGAAAUAAUAAAAUUAAGGAAUUCUUAUGAAAUUGAAUAAAAAGAAAUGAACAGUGAAAGUAAAUUGAAAAGAUAAAAAAUCUGAAACAGUUAAAAUCUGAAUCGGGAUCGGUGCAUAUACUAGGCGAGGAAGCAUCUGAUUACAGUUUACAGACCUUUUUUCCUUCUUUUUUUCUGUGUUGAUAUGAGAUCCUGCUUCUGCUUUUCUGUUCUCUGUUUGGGAAGAGAAAAUUAGCUACCUCAACUCACGCACUUGGCUUCAUACAUAAAUAGCGUCCUGUCUCUUUGACUGAAUAGGGUUAUUUUUUCUCAUUAACCGUGGUCAAAAAUAAUAAAUUAGUGCACCUGAAGCGCGUUGUCCGAACGGGAAAGCAAAUGAUGUAGUGUGACCUAUAAAGAUUGAGAAACUUUUAUUGACCGUUGAUUAUGGAAGAGGAUGAUCGUAGGGUGUUUGGACUAAUUCAAUAAUAGUGGCAGAAAAUACAAAAAAAUAGCUGACGGUAUUUGAGUGGCCAGCGAGGAUUGCGGUGGUUAAGUCAACUGAAUGAACGUAUGAUUCUCGACACGUGGAGGCAGGAAAAAAUGCGACGUUAACGCUCAUCUAGUCAUCAUUUCAGGAGAAAAUAGACAUUUAUUUUAUUUCUAAAAAAUUAAAAUAAUAUUUUUAUAGACUAUUUGUGUGUGUAUUUGUAUUAAGUAUUUAUAUUAAAAAUUUAAUAAUAAUUAAUAAAGGGGAAAAAUAAAUUAUUUAUUAACGUUGAAGCUUUUAAAUAAUUUUUUAAUUAAUAAUUUGUUCGUCUACAUCACACCAACUUAUUUUCUUAUCUUGUAUUUUUCGAAAUUGUCAAGCAUCAUAUUUGCCUCUAAUGCAAUAUAAAAUACAUAAAUAGCAAAAAAUUCACCAAAUCCUCACUUUCCAUUUAUAAAUCAUUUAAAAGGGUGAAUUGACUUAAAGUAUAACAUUAGGAUCAUAUCAACUCUAUUGAUUAAAAGAGAUAUAUUAAUUAAUUGAUAAAUUUAAAAAUUUAUUAAUUUUUGGAAUGCAUUCGCAAUUCUAUGAAAAUAUACAUUUAUUAAUUAUAAAUUCAUUGUACUUUAUCAAUCUAAUCAAUUAAAUAUAUAGAUAUACUAGUCAUGUACAUGUGCGUUGCACGCCAUGUGAAAUUUAAUUAUAUUAUUUUAAAAAAAUUUAUAUAACAUUGUAUGAAUUUAGUAGUGGUAUUCUUAUCAUCGCAUUCUAAAGUUUUGAGGCAUAAAUUUUAAUUGCUUAUAUGUACUAAUUAAAUGUAAUAACUAAUAACCCCUAAGUUUAUUGUAUUGAUAAAAAUGCUUUUUGGUUCCGUUUUUCCAAUAAUCAAUAUUUCAAAACAAUAAUUUUGUUGCAUUAAUAAAAAAAAAAACCUUAAAAUUUUUAAUUAUUAUAACUUUUAUUAGAUUUCUUCUAAAAAAAAUUUAGAUUUAUAUUUUUUUAUUGCUUUUUUCUAUUCAAUUUAUUUUAUAAAUUUGUGAUAGUAUAAGACAUGAUUUGAAAUUUUUAUUGAUAAAAUAUUAGAUAAUAUAUUGAUUUCGUUAAUUAUUAAAAAAAUUUUAUUAUUUGAAAUAAUAUUAAUGAUAUUAUUGAUUGUUAUUUAAUUAUUGAAAAAAGUUAAACUAUUAUUAACGAUGUUAAUAUUAAUAUAUUCAAUUAAUGUCUAAAUAGAAAAACUCAUCAAAAAAUAACACAAAAAACAGUUUUUCUUGCCAACUUAGUUUUAUUCAUAUUCAUUUUAUAAAUUUCUUAUAGCAUAAGAAAAAUGAUUUUUGAAAUUUUAUUAAUGAUAAUAAUACUAAUUUUAUUAAUUAUUAGAAAAGAAACUGAAAAUUUUUAUUAGUUGAAAUAAUAUAAAUAAAUGAUAUUGUAAGUUACUUACUUAAUUAUUGAAAUAAUAAAAAUGAUAUUAAAUAAAUAAUAUAAAUAAAUGAUUUUAGAUUCCCAAUGGAAAGGGUGAAGUAGACGGGGGACAAAGUCUGUACCACUCCUUAUUGGGGCAAUUCCAUUGGAGAAGGUACGUAGCCUAUUUUUAAUUAUUUUUUUUAAUUGGGAUUAGGACAAAAGGGAUUAUGGAAUUUCACAAUUAAGGUGGUGGAAAAAUGUAGAAAAGCAGUCUUAUAAAGAAUAGAGACAGCUUUGGAUAAUUCCUAGUUGUAACUAAGUUACAACCUGACUAGAAACUACCUGACCGUACUUGAUUUCCAAUUCUAAGUCAAUUUUAAGUUUCAGCUCUCCAAUUUGAAAGUGAAAUGCAAUAUUUCAACAAUAGAAAAUAUUGGUAGUCUGUUGCAAUAGGCUAAUAGAAAAAAUUAAAAAAAAGUCAAAUUCCAUCUUAUUGCGUUGAAACCUACUUCUUUUCCAAUUUUCAAUAUUAAAUGGUGAGGCUAAGCUUCUUUUUUGCCCUUUUUAUUCUAUUGGUUGAUAUAUAUAUAUAUAUAUAUAUAUUGUGUACCACCUUUUAACAUUUUAAUCGAUUAACAUGAUAAACGUUAUUUUAGUUGAUGUUAUUUUUAGAACAUAAAUUGUUAUUAAUAGAGUAAAAUUUAUCGAUGGACAAAAUUACCCUUUGCAUAAAAAAUGGUGUUCUACUACUCUCAAUCCAUAAUCAACCCAAUAACGUAACUUUCCAUAUUCAUCCACAAUAUCUUAACUUUUCACUCAUCUCCUUUGUCUUCUUCUUCUUCUUCUUCUUCACAUCAUAAAAUAAAACAACCAUUUUUUUCUUGUUCAUCAAGUUUUAAUUUUUUAAUUAUUUAUUUAUUUCUAUUUCUCUAUUUAUUUUUACCUUUAAAAUCCAUCCAUCUAUGCUUGUUUUUUUGGUAAUCAAUUUCUAAGUCUUAUUUCCUUUUCAAAUUCCACCCAUUUGCAAUCAAAAUUUGAAACUGUUAAUAUAAUUUGCAAAACAUAUUGCCUUUUGGUUUUUAAAUAAGAGAGAUAUUGCAUUUGGUUACACGAUUCAAAACAUAUUGAACUUAGAUCGAAAAUGGUGGAAUUUAGAAGAAUCUAUAGUGUUUAAUAUUCCAAAUGUAUUUAUACUAUCCGGUACCUUUAAGGAUAGAAGAAAUCAUCAACUUUUAGAAAAGAUGAAAUGGGUUUAUCAAAACCAAAUCUAGAAAGGAUAAGGAAACAAAAUAUGAGAUUUUUGAACUUUGACAGAGAAGGAAGGCAGAGGGCAGAGAAGGAAGCCGGCCAAAGUAGAAUACGAUUAACCGGAACUAUUAUAGUAAAAAUUCGGGCAGUUUUACAUUGAUGAAAAUUCAUCAGAGUUUAAAUGAAGUAAUGUAAAAAUGACAUAAGUAAAAGGAAUAUAAGAUGAUUUUAUCUAUUAAUAGAUUUUGCUCUGCUAAUAACAAUUUAAACUCUAAAAAUAAUACCACCCGCUCUUUUUUUAUAGUAUCUGAGAACAUAGCAUUUGAACUAAUUUUUAAAAGUUAAGAUAACGUUUUAAAAAAUAAUAACUGUCAUGACAUUUAGCUGUUAUCGUUUUAUUAAAAACUACACAAAUGACUAUUAUAUACUCAAACAACUAAACUAUUAAAACAGUUAAAUAACUAUCAAAAUAACUAAUUUUAUCGAAUAAAUUCAAUAAGCAAUCCUUGUCGAAUGUAGAGGUUAAAGAUUUUUGAACCCUCCAAUAAUAUUUUUUAUUCUAUAGGUUGACUUUGAUUAAAGGUUUAUAAAGUUAAUACACCAAAAUUGAAAUUAACUCUAUUACCCAUUCAAAAGAAAAAAAAAAAAGUCUAUUAUCUAAUGGUGACUCCAACAGAUACUUUAUAUUCACAUUAUACAUAUAAGUUAUAUGAUUUUUUGUUCAUUUUAUAUUAUUUUUGGGACGACUAUAAUGAUUAUAAUAAUAAUGGAACUGAAAAAGAGAGUGAAUUUUCACAACUUACAGAGACUUUUCUUGAACAACACAGCAGCAUACACUUUCCAAAUUUUCCUGCCAUGCUCCUCCUAUUCAGCUAUAUCCACCUUUCCCCACCUGUCAAAUGAAAGAAAAAAGAACAAAGGAAAGAAAACAUCAUGCAGAAUUUUUAUAAUAAAAAUAGAAAUUUAUUUCUUUUAAUAAAAAAUAUAUUACUCUACAGUAACUAAGCUAGGCCACCACAACCACCACCACUGUUAUGACUUCUUGACUCUUUGAAACUAUGGUUUUUUAAAGUAAAAAAAAUAAUUCUUAUUAGCCAUGGAAAAGACCACUAACUAUAUGAAUUAAUGAUUAUUAUUAGAUAAUAAUGGCUCUUCCCAAAGCUUAUAGGACAAAGUCCAAUAGGGAAAUUAUUUAAUUAAAUGAAAGAUAGAUAAGAGAGGGGGAGAGAGAGAGAGAUUAAUGACCAGAAAUGGAAGCAAAAUGCAUAGCUGUGAGGCUGCAAGAGAGAAAUGGACCCCUUUCCUUCCACCAAAGGGUUAGCUGUGGAAGGAAAGCUGAAAGCUGAAAAUGUUUUAAAAAAUAGAUGGGACCAAUUAAGAAUUUGAAAUAAUGGCGAGGGACAAGUUUUAAGAAAGGAAACAAAGUUUUUGGCAGUAGAUAGAGAAAGUGAAAGAUGAGGUAAUAAGAGCACAGCUAUCUAUUUUGAAGAUGAGAAUCUUAUGUUGUGGAUAUUAGUUAUUCUCUAGUCUGGUCUCACCUCACUCAAUCAAAGCCUUUCAUUCAUUUCAGCUAACUGUCAAGUUCCUUCACACCGACCUAACACAAACUCAGGUUAGAUUUUGGUCACCAACAAAAUUCUUACAGAAGUUUUUAAACACAUUUCAAAAACCAACCAUCGUUAGGCUGAAAUAUGAUGACGUGAUCCAUUUUUCUUUAAUCAAAAAUUUUGAGUUUGAAUCAUAGGUACGAAGUUCUUUAAAUACUCGGAAUGAGACAUUUUGCUCCUUUCAUAAGCUUGCUUGAUGCGGAUUCAAAUUAGUCGAACCAGUAGACUUAGAACAUGGGAUGAUUUAGAAGGAAAAAAACAACAAUUAGUGAAUCAAAAUUUUAUAAUUAAAAUGUAAAAGUUCAAAUUUGAUUUUCAUUGUUCCCAUUAUCUCUUUCUCUGAAAGAGCAAGAAGUAUUAAGCCUGCUAGGCUUUAAGCCCAUUACUGUUUCAGCCCAAAACUAAACUAAAGCUAUGGGCACACAGUUGAUGCCCAAAGCCGGGUCCAGUAUUCUAUAGCAGCCCAUUUUCUAGAACCUGCAACCCCAAGCAUUUUCCCACUUGGGCACUCGUCUUCUUCGUUUUCUUCUUCUUCUUCCGAUUUCAUUUCAAUACUGUUCCUAAGUUUGAACAUGAUCGCUGGUAUGCCCUGCAUUUAAGUAAACGAAUUGGCGGUUAUCGAAUACUAAAUAUAUGGGGAUCGAAGAUAUUGAUUCUUCUAAAUUUUCAAACACUAAGCCGCAGAGUCAAGGUCAGACUUUUUUCCUUUUUCUUUUGGUCAUAUCCAGUUACAAUAAAAUCUUCCAUUAAAACAAUAAUUAAGAAUGAAAUUUGGGUUUUUAAUCUUGGUUCUGGGAAUGGGUUUUAGGGCUUGACAAAGAAAUGGACAAAGAUGGCCAAAAUUUAAGGGAACUCCCAGUAGAAUCAAUGCGAGAGGAACUAAUACAGAUGGCUGUUAAGUUCUUAUCACAUCCAAGCGUUAGUGGUUCUCCGAUCACCCAACGACGAUCUUUUCUUCAGAAGAAAGGCCUUACCGAUCAGGAGAUAGAUGAGGCCUUUCACCGUGUUCCUGUAGGACAUUCUUCUUUCUUUUGGUUAUACAAUUAAUUCAAAUUCUUGAGCAAACUCUUAUUCUAUGAUCACUUGCAUCCUUUUCCUUCAUAUUUUUCACCCCUGCAAUUUACAGGAUGCAACUAUCGGACAAGGUCAUACCUUGAAUCAAGGUUAGCAAGAUUUUUUUGAUUUUUGGGUGCAAGUGAUUAUUAUGAUCUUUCAUUUAUGAUUAUUGAUUUAGAUACUAUGGUGUUAGUCUUUUUAUGUAGAUUUAAGAUUAUUAAAUGUGUUCAAUAGUAAUUGAUCAUAGCUUAGCUUCCCUCAGACUGCUAAUGUUCUUCUUCUUCUACUUCUUUUUCUUUGAACAAAGUGUUAAUUUUCUUGUUUGUCUUCUCGCUCUCAAGAGCAGAUGCACAUUCCAAGUUGGUAGCAGAAGUUCAGCUGCAACCUACAGCGCAAUCCUUGCAACCUCCACCAGUCGCUUCUAACAGUGUGAUUUCCAGGCCACCUAUUGCAUUGCCUUACCGAUUUUACUGGUCACAUUUUCUUGUUGCCCUUGGGGUUCUUGCUGCCUCAGGUGUUGGAACAGUUGUGUUCGUCAAGGUAUUUUAACGUGUUCUUUUCUAUCAGAUCACUUGGCUAAGUGCCUCAAAUGUUUUUAAUUGUUUGUAGUAAAAUUAUUGUUGCUCUUUUGGUGAUAUAUGCCUUGUUCAGAAAUUUAUUUUGCCUAGCUUGAAGAUUUGGAUUCUUAAGGCUGUUUUUGAAGAACAUGAUAAUGGUACAAGAAAAUCAGAAGGCUUGCAUGAAGCAACAGAAGCUGCCAAGGUAGCUGCGACUGCUGCUUCUGAUGUGACAAAAACAAUUCAAGCUAUGUUGAACUCUAACAAUGAAGGUAUGCACUUCUAACUUGUGUUUAGCACGGUGAGUAAUUCCGAGGCAUAGUCAUCUGAAAUGACUAUGGAUGUUGUCCGUUUGAGUUCUGUAAGAAGUCGCCCCUCACUGAUAUCCCAAGGAAAUGAGGAGAAAAAAAAGAAAAAAGAAAACGACUGCAAGCAUUUGAUUCAUUUUGUGUUGUCUUACUCUAAGUCUCCUACAUUCAUGAUUCAUGUAUCUCUUGUUAGAGAAGAGUUACUUUAAGGCACUAGCAAAGCAUCUUGACAUCCAAGCAGCAGAGAUAAAGUCAAUGAGUAAUGCAAUUUGGAAAUUGGAAGGUGCAAGGGAGGCUGCUCUCUCAUCAAAGAAACAUCAAGCUCAGCAUGCAUCAAAGAAUGGUGUGUUACUUGUGUCGGUUGAUUUUGUGCAUCUUGAAUUGUAUCAAGGAUUGUGCUUAGCAUUUAUAUGAAUGUAGAGUGCAUUACUCAAUUGGCAAUGAGCUGAGCAGAAAAAUUUAUAAAAAGAUAACAAACUGAUUGCUUCCAUUGCACCAAUGUUCAAAAUGCUUUAGCAUUAUUUUCUUCAUUAUAUGUUAAUCACCUGAUGCCUUGAGCAGCAUGGUGAUCUUAGAUUCUAUCCAUCUUGUUUAGUUUUUAAGUUGCAUGAAUUUCAUAUGAAUUUUUGGUAAAAUAAGACUAGUAACAUUUCAUGGAAAUCAACUGGUGUUGAUGAUUGUACUAGAAAAUCUGAGACCACUUCAAGAGUAAAUUAAGAAUAUUUAUAUUGCACUGUUUUUUUUCACGGGGUUUUAGAUCUUAAAUUGCGUCUAUUUACUAGGCUCUUCUUCAAGCAUCCUGGUCUACUUCCAUGCUUUUAUUUGUUUGUUUAUUGAUUAUUGCUUUAUUUAUUUUUGUUGGAACUUAAAAGAGUGUCAAUGUCCAUUGAUGUUUGUCUAAAUUGUUUGGAUUUUCUUAUGCUUUUAGUACAGCACUCUAUUCUACCUCUCUGACAAUUAGUAUUUCUUCUAUAGUGAGGCCUUCAUCAGCUCCUGCUUCAGUGAGACCUUAUGUUGUUCAGCAUCCAGAGUCCUUCUUUGAGGUAACAAGCUUUUGGAUGUUCUCAGUUGUUACUCUCUCUCUCAUCACUAACCUCCAGCAGGCAUGAGUAUAGAGUUGCUUGUAGGGAUAGCAAUUUUUAUGUGGAAUUAAAACCUGGAGUUUGUUUUUUGUCCAUCAUUAUUAAUCUGUGGAUAGAAUUUCUACAUGGAAAAUAAGCAUAAGCUGAGCAAAUACGAGUUGGUUAACCAUACUUUGUUGUUUUUGGGAAUAGAUUUAUCUUCUAAAAUCAUGAGGUACCGUUAAUAUUUAACUCUGAUAGGAUUAAGUGGGCACGUCUACUGUAGUUGAAACAGAGUAGUAAAUAAACCAUGUCAGAAAAAUGGCAGUUUUCUAGUAUCCAUAACAUUUUGACAUGUGAAAGCUGCUGGUUUCCCCCCUCUUCUCCCCUCACCCUUUUCUCUUACACUAGUUUGUAGUCCUAAAUCAGUUAUUUUCAGAACACAGUACAAAGACAAGAAACCCCUCCCGGUAGAAAAGUAAGUCUACAUCCAUGCAGUUUGAGUUUUUGCUCAACUCGUUAGCGGUUGGAAUAAAUGUUCUCCUCCUAUUUUUAAUUCCAGGAAAUCAAUGGUUCACAUCCAAACGUCACUCAGCCUCUACCAAAUCCUUGGUUGGCUCCAAGAAAAAAGGUAAGCUUCCCUCUAGUUUUUUUAUUGUUAUUUACUUUCAUUUUUGUAUCUUGUCUCACAUUUGGAAGACAUGAUACAUAACAUGACUUGUUUGAAUAUGACACAAUAUUCUCUGGUGGCAUAAAAAGCAACACCAGAAUGUAUGUUUUCCUCUCUCUUAUUUAUUUUUGGAGUAGUUGCUUAUUAGUGUACUUAUUUGUUUUAUACCUUUGGGUUCUUUCUGCUUGUUUGCUAUCAAAUAGCCAUGGGAGGUUGCUAAAGCCCAAAACAACUCUCAAGUACACAAUGAAGGCUCCAAGAUGCAAGUUUCUGGGUUUGCUUCUCAAUUGAACGGUGACAAUUCAGUCCCAUGGUGGCGUGGUAAUGUCAAAGUUACAAAAUUAGGAAGUGACAAUGCAAUGCGAAAUUGGCCGCCGAAUAAUUCCAGAAUCACAGAAUUAAAACCUGAAAAUAGGUCUGUGACAAGCUCUUAUAAUAGAAUGCAUGACAAUUGAAGCCAUUAUUCAAGACGGAAUGAUUGAUGACAGUCGCAUGCAGAUAGUUGAAUGUCUAAAGCAUUGAGUUGCUCAAGUUCUUCAAAUACUGGAGCUAGUGGGACGGAGAAGUCCAAAUGAUAUACAAGAAGAUAGAAAAUGAUAAUAUCAUGGUCCUUGGCGACAUUUUUGGUCACUGUGUUUUUAAUGGACCAGCCUGUUUUGUAAUCAGAAAAUUCUAUUUGCCAAUUUAUUCUAGUUUUAGCAACAAUCCUUCCCCUCCCCUGUUAUUUUUGUAUACUGCCGAAAUUUAUUUAAUAAAUUACUAUUCGUCCAAUAUCCAGUCCAAAUAAAUUGUAAGGGCCAUUUUCAGUUCCACCAAAGAUUGCAAGGGUAGCACGCACCUGAUCUCUGCUCAAUUUCUGGUGCCCAUUAGCUGAAUCGCCACUAAAGACAAGGAAAAACACUCUGACGCAGAUUCCAUUCUUAUCUACCUAGCCCACUCUGCUCUCUUUAUUGAAGCUUUUUCUUUUUCUUUUUUCCUUUCUCUGUUUUCUCAGUAAUGCAAAAUAUUGUUCUGUUAGUUUGAUCAAAGGCAAAUUAUAUAAAUACAGCAUAGGUUUGACUGUAUCCAGUAUUACACCAUCUUAGUUCCCUUCUUUCUUCAAGUCCCGUUCGCUUUCUUCUCUGAUUAAAAAUCUGCACGGAAAGCUUGAUAGAAGAUUUCGUUGCUUUCUCAGAUGUACGGUCAAUUGGUUCAAGGGCAGGGGACGUUGAAAGCUAUAGUAGGACAUGAUUCAACAUCUCCAAGCUUAAAGGUGAACUGUUGCUUGCGGGAAUUUGCUUGACGCCAGGAAAUUGCUUCUGUUAGUUCUCAGAAUUUGGGAGCAUGAAGGAAAAAGAUAAAGAGGAAGUUAACCAAUCUAUAGGCACAAAUAAUGAGAAGUGAUAGCUUCUAUGGAUGAAUAAUUUCAAUUGCUGAGAAGGAUUUUAAGUUCUGUCAAUUGAGUUUACUUUCUAUUUAUGCAAGUUGAUCUGAUCUAUCACGAUAUAUUUGUUAUAGGAUGUCUCUUUUCAAGUAAUACAGAAAUGAUCAAAUGGGUUUCACAAUUAAACUCUAAACAGGCUGAUAUCACACAAGUAUUUUAAGUUUAUUUUCUUUGGCCUUUAAUUUAAGUAGUGGGAUUAAUAAGGAAAAUUUGAUAUUGUCAUGUGUUCUUUAAAGUUUACAAUACAUCUAGAUGAUGUUGUUUCUGAUUAUAUAUAUGCAUUAUGACACAGUCUAAAGACUCUGCUGUUGCAGAAAGAAAAGACCAAAGGUAUGAUAUUCCUUCUUGUGUGCGUGUAUAUAUAUAUUUCAAAUUAUGCAUUUUUUUCUCCCAAGUAUGCCUCUUCUGCGGCCUUAAUUAGCUAAAGUUACGAUUUCUAAGUUGACGUAUGUUUCAUAUGGCACAGUAUUUGAGUUUGGUAACUUGCUUGUAUUACAGAUUAACUAUCAUCAGUGAAGAUGAAGCUGAGCUAGCAUCUUUUUAUUCAUUGGAUUCUAGCCCUAGUUUGUACACGCUUGAAUUUCCCUGUCAGAACCUGAUAAAGACAGACAACAAAUGCCAGAAUGUCUCUGUUCAUACUGUUACUCAGUCUUCCCCUUCUCCCAUACUCUCAUGCGUAGAGAAGGCACCUAAACAUGCUCAUAUUUCCCUUAUACCAGUUGCCAAUUCAGACACAAAUACAAGCAAUCAGACAACAUCAAGUAACAUCUUGCAAGAUAUACAUGUAGUAAGCACUUAGGAACUGUGCACCGUGUGAGACAGUCAGUAUAUAUCUUUAAUGUAUUAUCAUGCAAAACCUUCAUCUAAUCCUUUUUUCAUGUCAGGUUAUUUUGUUACGUAUUAUAAAUACUUCAGGUUAGUUAUCUGACCGAUGGAUAUUUUUUUGUGGUUUUUGUCUCAGUCCGCACGGUUGAUGGAGGAUUUUCUAGAACUUGCUAGAGAAAAUACAGAGAAGGAUCUUGAAACCUGUGGGGUUCUUGGUGCUUUCCUUGUAAGAUUCAUACUUCUGUCUAUAUAUUCUAGAAUCAAAAUCCAUAGUUUUUUUUUUUUUUAACUUAUCAACAAUAUUAUGGAGAAUGGAAUCUUGGCAUCAAAAAACUAUUUUUUUGCUUUUAUUCCGUUUAGCUGCGGUAGACCUGUUUUCAUUUUUUACUUCCUGUUAGUUAAUGGGAAUUUAUUUUUGAUGAGCAUUCAUCUAACUAAAUCAAAUGCAUUUGGUUUCGUCCUUAACACAAUCAGGAAAGGGGGACCUUCUACGUUACCACUCUGAUAAUACCAAAACAAAAAUCAACUGCGAAUUCUGUGAGUCCCCAAAGGCAUUUUUACAAAUUUUUUGCUGGUUUUGAGACGUCAUUUGUGGAGACUUUUUUACAGGCCUAAUUUAUUAACUUCAUGACAGUGUGAGGCUAUAAAAGAGGAAGAAUUUUUUGCCAUACAGAACGAACAAUCGCUUUUUCCUGUGGGGUGGAUUCACGUAUGUUAGCUCUUUUCUUGUGAUUUUAUUUCACUUUAUUAACUGUGAAUGCUUCUUUUAUGUUCAUCAUUUUCUAUUUCUCAAGUCCUCAAGUGCCAUAGUUAAUGCUUUCUUCAAUUAUUUGUAUAUUCAGACGCAUCCUUCUCAAGGUUGUUUCAUGUCUUCAAUAGAUCUGCACACUCAAUACUCAUAUCAGGUAAUCAACUCACCUGAUUCUUCCCAUAUCACUUGUUCUUUCUUCUUUUAUUCCAAUGAUUUUACUAUUAAAAUUUAACUAUUUGCAUUUCUUUCUUUUUCUGCCUUUAAGGUAAUGGUACCAGAGGCUUUUGCAAUUGUCAUGGCUCCAACUGAUUCCUCCAGGUUUGCAACGCUCGUAUAGCAUUUAAAGCAAAUCCAAUAACACAAAUUCAAUUGUAUCUUUUGCAGAAAACAUGAAUUCCGGGUUGUGUGCUAUAUUCCUUUUAUGCAGAACAAUAUGAAGGAUACUUCUUAAAUGGCAAAAAAUACAAAUCUCUUUUCAAUGAAUGUUGAUAUUUGUGUAAUAUUUAGUUGCUUUUAUUAUUUAUGGCUUACAGGAACUAUGGAAUAUUCCGGCUCACUGACCCAGGUGGGAUGAAUGUUCUAAAGGAGUGUCAGGAGACAGGAUUUCAUCCACACGGAGAACCAGAAAAUGGAAGCCUCAUUUACGAGCACUGUUCCAAUGUGUAUACAAAUUCGAAUCUGAGGUUUGAAAUCUUUGAUUUGCGCUGAUUAUCGUAUACAUCUUCAGCUGCUCGUUUGCAUGGCAGAACAUUUCUGGGGAAUAAGCAAAUAAAAAGAUGAUCAUUGUUGCUACCUGUAGCAAAAUUCGGUCGAGGCAUCGGCAUAAAUAAUGCCCAUGCACAGACAAAUUUAGUGGAGUCAUUUAGAAAUUUGUAAGUAAAUGCUUAUGUUAAUGUAAAUGUUUAAUGAUCACAACAAUGGAAAGUUUCUGCCAACUGUUUCUAAUUAGUGUUUUAGAGACUAGAUUACCUGGGUCAUUAUUUACAAAUUUCAAUACAUAAAAAGUUCCUGUGAGCUUCCAGGAAGUGAAAGUAGUUUGUUCCUUUAGCAGGAAAAGUUAAAGAUAGAGAUGGUCCUCCAUGGAUGGGUAGAAGAUGCGCAUUGAACUGCGCAAACUGUACACUUCUAGAGAGAUAUUUUGCAUCUAGUGCUGUAUUCUUUUGCCUUUGUGAACCGCCCACUAUGGCUUAUGCCUCUCUUUCCAUGAAAACUGAAGAAUGUCAUGUCAAAUCCAAGGAGUGAUUUUUCAAGCUCCAUUUUCUUGACAAUUUGUCAUUUGCUUUAGAAAUUUAGCAUCUGUAUUCUCUUUAUCUGUAAAACUGAAGAAUCUUUCCUAUCAAUUGAAAGCUGGGUUCUUUCCUGGUUCCUGCUUCACCUAAUCAAAUCAACUAUGGAAACUUAUGCUCCAAGCGAGGAGGCUUUUUUCCAUGAAAGUGCUGGAAAUAAUAAGACCAACAUUUUUAAAAUUUGUGUUAAUCCAUAGUAAGAUUUAAUCCAAUAAAAUAAUGAAAAAUUAAUUGAUGUUACUUUCAGAUGACAACCAAUGAAAUAUAAUUUAAUUGAUGAUACGAAACUCCAAGAAUUACGUAUUAGACGUUCCAAAAUCAAAUUUUAUAUAUAAAUUAUAAAUCUCAAAUUAGAAAUUCUAAUCUAAUUUUCAAAUUUGAAAUUUCUUUUCGGAUGAAAAGGGCGGACCCUGACUCAAUACAUAAUAUUUAAUAAUUAUUUCCGAUAAAAUAAGCUUUGAGUUCAGCAUACAGUUUUGUAAAUUUUGAUUAACAUAACACUAGGAUAAAAUAAUUAUUGAUAUACAUCUAACUCCCAAACUAUCAAUCUGUCACUAACGUAUACAAAUCCCAUUCAAAUCCUCUUUAUAUUAGAAGAACAAAUCAAUAAAUAAAUUAACUCUCUUAAAAAAACAAAGAUUAAUUAAUUAUAAACCGAGCUUAUUAAGUUAAUAAGGAUGGAUAUUCCGGCUCAACCCGUUCACAUUAGUGAAAAACCCGACCCGGUACGGCAAAUACGAUUUACGCUUAUGUUCCUCUUUGAUCACUCUAUUCCUUAUGUAGAGCUUCUCGUGCGCGGACGAUGCCGUUUUAGUGUUCUUCCCUUUCUUUGUCACUUGUUGCUGCUUCUCCUCCUUUCCGACCUUCUUGUUUUUCUCUGCCUGACUCGUUUUUGUACUCGCACUUCCUGUCACUGCUGUUGUUAUUGUUGAAGGGUUGCUGUUAUGGUUUUGAUUAUUCAAAAAGACAAAGGCGUCCUUGCCGUCGCUAUUGCUUCGGAGGACCAAUUCUCGAAACCUCCUUAGCUUCGAGAACCCCGUGGAGUUACUUUUUUUGCACACCUCUGGCGACGCUUCCACAGCUUUCCCUUUCCAAGAACAGUACGGUCCCUCCGGUUCAUCCGCUUCCGAAGACGAAACUGACGAGGCAUGGUCACGCUCCACAAACAACUUUCUCAACGGCGGCCGGAGAGAUGGUUCUUUCGAAUUUUUAGCUUGGGAAAUGCCAUCCACGUCAAACAAGAGAUCUCUAUCGAACAAAGGAAAAAGCGGCCGGAUCUGUCCGUUUUGAAAUGCAUCAUCAGCGGAAAUAGGCGAUCCAUUGGGAUUUGCGCAAGCAAAACUAAACUCUUCCUCUUGCUCUUCCUCCUCGUCCUCCUCCUCUUGAGGCAGUUUCUCGUCCUUUAAGCUUGCCGUGGCUUCAUCAUUUAGUCUUAAUUUCAAGGUAAAUUCCUCCUCAAAUUUACCGGCGAUCCCCGUAAAGUCGCUACCGGAGCAAGGACUGAAAACUUGAUGAACGGAGACAGCGGAACUCACCUGCAUUUCUUCUUCAAGAACACAAAUUACUUGAAAAAAAGGAUAUUUGCUUUGGUCUUACGAAGAGAGUUAAAGAGAAUUAAUGGUGAGAAAGAGCUGUGGUGGUUGCUGGAUAGAGAGAAGUAGGAAGCUGGGCUAAAACGCGGCUGAUUUUGGUGUUUAGCGUUUCAAUUUAUUUUCUUUUAAUUUGUGAGAGAAAAGUGUUUAUUACAGGUUUAUAUAAAGGAAGGAAAGGACGAAGGAAAGAAAAAGGAAAGGCGCGUAAUCUUUGGGUGGAGUUCCGAAAUAUCGGCGGUAUUUUUAGGAUGGAAAGGGGAAAGUUAGAAAUCGGAGAAUAGUCUUACUUAAGUAAUUGACAAGUAAACCUGUUAGCUGCCCACGUGUUUCUGUAAUUUGAGUUUUACUCGGUAAUUUUAACCACAUAGUAAAACAUUGUUACAGCUGUUACUCUGUUACCGGCCUGGACAAUGCAUUGUUCUUCGGUUAACCCAACCAUAUCAAAAUAUAAUACUAUACUUACUCCGCUGUUUCGCAAAAAUAAUUCUAUUUUCAUACAUAUUACGAAAAUUUUAAAAAAUCAAUUUUCUAAAAAAUAUCAGAUGUCAUUUCAAUUUAUUGCAUUAAUAUCAGUUUUUCAUAAAUUAUAAAUUUAAAUCUUUCAGUGUUUUUUAUAUUUACUUUACAAGAUGUAAUAGUAUAAGAAAAACUAUCUUGAAAUUUUAUUCAUAAAUUAUUAAAGUAUAUAAAUAAUUUCACGAGUUAUUAGAAAAAAUUAAAAAGUUUUAUUAUUUGAAAUAAUAAUUAUAUUAUUAAUUAUAUAGUUAAUUUAAAAAAAAUUGAAAAACAUAUAAUAUUAUUGAUGAUAUCAAUAUUAAUAUUAACUCAAUUAAUCUCUAAAUGGAAAAACUCAUAUCUAGUUCAACGACUAUGGGAUGUGUUUAGCCUAAAAUUUAUGGUGGUCAUUGACAGAGACAAUUUUACAUUAGAAAGACACAGGUGAUGUGAUGGCAUUAUUAGUAGAAGCUUCCUGCUACUACAAAAAUUAAAAUUAUUCUUUUAUCAUAUAUAUAUAUAUAUAUAUAUAUAUCAACAAUUCUCAAUUUCUCGUCAAAAAUUAAACUAAACCGACUCAUUUGGAUCGAAUUUAUAUAAUUAUUUUAUAAUUUUAAUUAUUAAUCAGUUUGGACAUAGAAAACCAUUUGAUUUUUUUAUUUUUUGAUUUAAUUAUUGUAUAUAACUAAUUGAAUUUAUUUUUAAGUCUAAAUAACUUAUUUGGAGAAUAACUCAUACCAAAUCAAAUCGAUUUAAUACGAUUUGAAUUAUCUAUUAUAUUAUUUGAUUUUAAAUUUAAAUACUAUAAAAUUAUAUUCAAAUGAAUCGAAAUUAAAUUAAUUCGAUUUGAUUAACUAAACGGUCAACCUCGAAAUGCCUUAUGCCUACCGUUAAAAACACUGUAUACAUGUAACAUGUGACAUUUAUUAUGAGAAGUCACCUCAAUUCAUUUGAUGUAGAGAUGUAGAGCUGGUAGUUGAUGGCCAACCAGUUUUUCUUUGCCUUUUCUGGUACACAACCCGUUUGUCACUUUCAGAUAAUUUUAAAAUUUUUUAGUUACAUUUUCAUUCAUUUGGUGGCAAUUGUAGUAGGUGCGCAACAUUAAAUUUUAGCUGUCAUUCUUUUUUUAAAAAAACAAUUUUGAAUUUCACACUUGAUAAGUAAAUAUGGAUCCAUAAAUACGUGUUUAUAUCUAAUGUAUGAGACUACUUAUAUAUUAAUUGAAUAAUAAUUAAUUUUAACAUUUAAAGUAAUUCAUAUAUAUCAAUUAAUGUGCAGUAAAAUUGUACAUGUUCAAUAAGUCUCCUUUGGCAAGAAGAAACCUUAAAGAGGAGAAAAUACUAAGAAAGAAGCAAAAACCAUGGAUGAGGAUUGCGAGCAGGUUAAUUUCUUGAUAUAAUAAAAAAUGGAAAAGAGAUUAAAGAAAAAAGAAAAAAAAUAAAAAUAGCAGUACUUGGUGACUUGACCAGGUCAAUUCUUGAUUACAUAGUUUAGUUAAGCAGUGGAUGUUUCAAACGGCAAAGCGUUGACAAAUCCGACAAUUUUGUUUUAUAGAAGCAAAUGCACCAAUCCUUCUUGUGUUUUUGGCCUAAGCUACAAAUUAAGAGAAGACUUUCAAAAUUUGGACGUCAAGAAAGAAGCUUCUCAACUUUUGACUUAUUCUGAAUUAAAUUUCCAGCUACCACCAAAAGACAUGUAUAUAUAUAUAUAUAUAUAUCUUAUUUGUUAUCCACAAUUUAUUUAUUAUACUUUGACUAUCUAUUUAAUAAAUCUUUUAUUUUUCUUCUAGAAAAAAAAAAUAUAUAUACCCAUUAUUAUAAAAUCAAUUAUAGCAAUCGGAGUAUCUAAUAUUUGAAAUUUAAUAGUUCCUUGUUUUUAUCUACGUUAACUAGUUAAUCCUUUUGUUAAACUCACUAUUAACCAGAUAAAUAUUUACAAAUCACUCGAUUAAGAUUGGAUUAGGAUUUAGUUAAAUGGUACAGAUCAAAUUGUCUGACGUGGCAAAUUGAUAACUCAAAAACCUACAUGACAGCAAUGUUGAAAAGGAAUAUAAGGUUUUGUUUUUUGGCUGAUCAUCAUCAUUUAUUCAUUCGCAUUGUUGACCAACAAAGUGAAAAAAAAAAAUCAAUAAAUUAAAAUAAAAUAAUAAUCUCAUCUAGAAUAAAUUUUAAUUAGUUCCAUCUAGAUGAUGUGGAAUAAUACAUUCUUAAUAUAACCUUAAAAAUAAAAUUUAGUUUUCAAAAUAAAUAUUAGUAUUAAAAAGUUCAGACAAAUAGGACGAAAAUAAAAUUAAAAUUUUAAAUUUUUUUCUCUAAAUUAGAAGGGGAAAGAUCAUUUUCAAAUAGUUGACUAAUUGUUAAUAAAUAAAAUUUGUAUGACUAGUCGAUUAAUCAUUAAUUAAUCCAUGUAUUAAUGACUAAUUAGUCAUUAAUUAGUCGAUUUUUAAGCAAUUGGAAAUAUAGAAUUAGGAUAAGAUUUGGCAUAGUUUGCAUAGAAGGAUUAGCGGAAUGACAUAAAUAAUUAAUUUUUUGAGAAAACUUCAUAAGUUGGUCGCAUGACGUAAAUAUUUUAUAACAUGAAAGGUUAUGGGAAGUUAGUAGCUUAUGAGUUAAGUUACCGAGGCUUGUUUGCUUGAAAUUGGUGUAUUUUUCGAAAAAUAUAUUUUUUAAAAAUAUGCAGUUAAUAAAAUUAUUUUCUACGUAAUAUAAUUUAAAUGCAUUUGCUAUGUAAAUCAUUUUCCUGUUAAAUAAAUUAUUCUCAAGUUACAAAAUAUAACAAUUAAUGUAAAUUUAAAUAUAUUUAUAUAAUAGAAUAAACUGAUAAAUUCAUUGCUUUUGAUUAGAAAAUGUAACAUCUACGUAUCUAUAAGUAACUUAUUUUCGCUAUAUAAAGAAAGUUGAAUAAUCUAUUUUUUGUAAAUAAAAUUGAUAAUGUAAACUAAACAAAUACUUUAUACACUUUCGGAGAAGUUGCAAUUGCCUAAUUUACUUACCUCCAACUAAAUAUCUCAUAUAUAUUCAAAUUUGAUUUUCAUUUUAAAUUUAAAUAAUUCGAGUAUGACUAAGAUUGAAUGACUCACAAAAAUUAAAAAAUUCUUAUUUACACCCGAUGUAUGAGCUCAUUUAUACACCAAAUCAAUUACAAACAUUAUUAAUUUUAUAAGAGUAUUAAUUAGGGCAUAGUAAAUAAAUUUAUUGAAAUUUUUGACAUCAAUUAAGCCAAAGUAAGUUGAAAUCUAAGUGCAUUUGAGGUUGGUUUUAAAAAAUAUUUGAAUUUGAAUAUAAAAAUUAAAUUUGAUAAAACACAAAAUUGAAUUUCGAGUCCCAUAGUUAAUUCAAUUGAACUGAAUUAUUACAACUAAUAAUGGGAUGGCUAACAUGGGAAAAGAAGUCAAGUGGGUUUUUUCAAGUAGUCUAAUGUGUCAAGCCCACUAUUCAAUUUGAAAGCCCAAAAUUUAAAGGAGGAGUACUCAACACCAUUUCGACGACAAAGCCCAAACUACAUUAAUAACCCAACUGUUAAUCUACAUUAAUAAGGCGUAACACAAGUAUUUUGUUUGUUCUCAAUAAGGCCUAAAUAUUCUUAAACACCCUUCGAUUUUUUUUUUUUUUUUUUUUUAUAAACAAAGGUUGUGUUCGGAAAUAACUUUUUAAAUAGAUUUUAGUCAAAACAUUAAAUAUUCUUAAACACCCUUCGAUUUUUUAUUUUUUUUUAUAAAAAAAAGUUGUGUUCAGGAAUAACUUUUUAAAUAGAUUUUAGUCAAAACACUAAAUGGUAAUUUUUACAGUAUUCGAUAACAUAGAGUUUGAACUAAUUUCAUUUUCUAAAAAGUUAACUCAUGUAAUAUUUAAUUUUUAGCCUUUUGUUAUGGAGCAACCUACGAACUAAAAGGAUGAGCAUGACCAAAGAAACAAUGAUAAAAUUAAUGAGAUUUUCAAUCCAAUUAUUUCACAUCAAAGGGCCUAUAAUUAGAUCACGAGCCAAGAAAAUUCAACAAGCUUAAUUUGUCAUUUACAAGGUUUGGUGAAUUUGGCUUGUAAAAGGCUGCAGUAGAUCUAAGGCUUGAAAACAAGAUCAAAUAAAAUUAAUUACAACUUAAUUCAAGUCCAACUUCAAAAUGGGCUUAUUUAAUUUUGUUUUUAGAUCUUAGCUUUGUUAAUUGAAUGAAAUUAAUUAUGUUUGUAUUUUUGUCGUAAUGGGUUUUUAAAACAUGUCAAUUUAAAAGCCAUUUAAUUUUAUUGCUUUGAUAAUUGGUUGUCCAAACUUGUUUAUGUUAAACCCAUAAAUUGAGUUUGUUUAUUUUAGAUUAUGAAUUUUUAGGUCUUGUAAAGACUAUAUAAAGGUCUAAAACGAAUUUCUAGGGAUGGAUAAUUGAAUGAUAAUCAAAAGGCUGUUUGCUUUUAUCUUUGUGUUCUUGAGUAGAAUAUAUGCUUAAGGAACAUUCAAGUUUACUGAUCAUCUUCUUGUGAAGUGUUUCGAAUCUGGAAUUUAGAAACAAGUUUUCUUUAUUCUAGAUCUUUGAUCAUCCUUCUAAGCAAUCCAAAUUUUAGCAUGUCUUAGGGAUUGAGACUGAAUUGUUAAAGGGGUUUUCAAAUUAAUAUCACGGGGUCCAUAAUAAUUAAAGGGGUUCUCAGACUUAUUCUUGGAGGUUCUGUAUCACCUUUUAUGAAAAGUUAUCCAAACAUUUAACAGUUAAAUGCCACUAAAACAAUUAAUUUUGUAAAAUAAACUCGAAGGAGGCCUCACACCGAGAAAACAAUACUAACCGGUUCCAACCGGACGAGGCAAGGUUACACCUUGUGUAUCAUCUCGCAAAAUAGCAGCAACCUAAUCAGGAGGGACAUCAAAAUACGAAAUGAAAUCAUAAUUUUAGAAGGAAGUGCAUAGUCUGUUCUACCUUUUCAUCGAAAUACAUUUACACGUAUCUGAAGCUGACUUUUCAAUAUAUUUGCAUAUAUCGGAGUUAUUUUCAAUUAAUCGAAACCACUUAUAACUGCCCUGUUAUUAUCUUAACGCAGAAGGAUGCAUUAAUAGGGUAUGUUAAGAUAAUCCCAUUCACAUUAAUAUUUGAUGGGUUAUUGAGAACUUCAUUCGCUAAUUACUUAAUAUGGCAAGUUAUUAUCUUAACGCUUAUUCUUAAUAUGCAUUCAUCAAAGUUAUACAUUACGUUACCCUUGUUCUCUUCCCAUUAAAGAAAGUUCCUUCCUUUGUCUUCUUGCUUAAUUUGCCUUUUCUGAGAACUCUUAUGGUAGUUUCAUAAAUCAAAUCAAUUUAAAAAAAAAAAAAAAAAAAUUUCUAAGAAACUCACUGCCUUUUUUUUUCCCCCCAAAUGCAUAGUUAGAAAUAUUUUUAUUUGAACUAAAACAUUGAUUGUAAUUGGUUCUUUUGAACGACUUGGAGCAGAAAAAUGAAAACUUUAUAAGGGGUAGAUGUUUUAAAUGUUCCAGAGAUGGUUGCAUUUCACUGAAAACAAAAUCUAAGUAAACAAAUGUUUGACAUUACAGCUGUAGAAGAGACAAAUUUUUGACAUUACAGCUGUAGAAGAGAUAUACAACUUCUUUCUUUCUCUCCAUUUAAGGUUUGAAACUAUAUUUAGCUGCUCUUGCGACUGCUGCCGCAGCUUCUAGGUGUUUUCACACAGAAACUGAUGAAUAAGAAAGUCAAUAUUUUCUGCCACGGUUGGAUCUUCCGAUCACAAGCUGCUGCGUUAGAAUAAGAGUUUCAAUAUUAGUUGGAGUACAUAAGGAAGUGAACCAUAAUAUAAUAAGAUAUUUGUGCAUUGCAUUUUCUGAUUGUCAAAGGUUUCUCAAAUCAGCAAAUCCAAAGUUUCAAAUUAUAUAUUUUGGGAGCAAUCAGAAUUGAAUAUUUUUUUCAUCCUCUUUCUACUUCUAUACCUCUGCUUUUGCUUUUUCCUAUUUAGUAUUUCUAUGGUGAUUUAUUUCAACACAAAUUGGAUUCCCUGGUCCAUAGGGCAGAAGUGAAAGUGAUCUUUAUUUUUUUAUUUAACAAAUUGUGUUUUUUAGAUGACGGAUGGCACUUCAAGCUAUAAAUCUGAAAGGGGUUUUCCAGAUUCCCUAUAUUUCAUGGUUCUACAUGAUAAAAACAUAUUCAGGAAAAUGAAUAAAAUAAGAACACCCUAAAAGAGUCUUCCAACCAAUAUAUUUGUUAGAAAUAAAAAGCAAAAAGCUGCUGAUUCCUGAUUCUUGACUUCCAUACUAAUUAGCUUUACUUAAUGCCAAAGUAACAAACUUUGUCAAAACAUAAAGAUUUGAAUUGAUAGGGAACUUUUCAAAUAUUUUCCUAUCCGUCCUUCUCCAUCUACCCCAACUAAUUUGCUAUUAAUGCUUGGUUGUUGCUAUUUUACUUCUUAUACAAAAUCUAACUCGGAUAAAAACCAUAUUAAUGGCUACCAGACUUGAUAAUUAGUUAGCAAGUACUAGUGUAAUUCCAACAGCUUGGUUCAAUUCAUCCUAAUCUAUCAAAAAAUAAAAUAACAGAAACAGAAACAGAAACAACUUUAUAAGGCUCGAAGUUUGAGAAAUGAUUAAAGAAAGUCAGACCUUAUUUGUGCAAUUUCUAAUGAUCGCAGCCAACAGCCUGUCACCAGAUAUCUGCCUCACUUUUCGGAUUAGUGUCAGUCUGCUGAUCUUAUUUUUCUGCAAGAUUGAAAAUACUGGAAAUAAUCAGCACAUCUAGUACACUAAGACAACCAAUGUAUGUCAAGGAAAGAAAUAUUCAGUAUUUUAUGGCCUACCCUAAAAUCAUCAUAGAAUUUGAAGAUCAAAGCCAUCUUAGAAGGCUCCAAAAACCUUGACAAUAUAGACAAUAAAGCAGGAAAGCUCAUCCAUGGUGAAGAGGGUCUGACUGAUCUCCCCAAAUUUGUAUUCAAACCUAAACAAGCACAAAAAGUGGAAUCAGAGAUCUGUGAAACUAUAGUACAGUUGAAAACAUAUAUAUGCAAGAGAAAAGCAAAUAUAAAAAACCAACUUUGCUUACCAUUAAAGCAAGGCGCCUGAAAGCUUAUUAUGUAAGCAGGGAAGAUAUGAGAAUUCAUAAAAGCACUCCAUACAAUGAAUUUUCUAGGCUCUUCAAGAUUAUCAACACCAGAGUCAAAUUCUGUUGAACUUGGUUGAAAUUGCUUUGAACCAGCAGGAAUCACUUCCAUCUUCCCCAUUACCACACGGCAUAGCAACAUAUGCCUAAGACCAUUCUCAUCCACAGUGGCUGAUGCCGCGCUGUAAAACAUAGAAAGUAAAGAAGCAAACUCGUUAGUACCAAUCUUUUUCUUGAGUCAAUUCUCUAUUUCUGUUUGGUUGCCGGGAAAAACAAAAUUUCAACAUCAACUUAUGAAGUUUGAGUUUCUAAUUCUCUUUCCUACUCUUUCUUGAUAAUAUUACUACACAAUAUCAUAAUGAGCAUAUCAAACUUACCUAUCAAUGCAAAAUUUUGGAGGAGAAAGAGAAAUACCAAACCCAUGAGAUUCACCAUUAGCAGUUUCACUGCAGAGACUAAAUCCAUGAGAUAUAACUUGACAAAUCUUCUCUCUUGAACCACCAAACCAACCAAACCGCAAAUUAGCAUCGCCUCCGGACUUUUGACUCACUGCCUCCGUAAAAAUACGAAAAGUAAGCCAUCUAGCUCUUCCUGCAGAACCAGAAGCAGAGUUCUUAUGUAUGGCCACAAUCUUGGUGUCCUUUCCACGAUUUCUCAUUCCUUCUAGGAAGCUCCUAGUAAUUGUGUUAUGUUCAAGACUUCCUUCCCCAACCUUGAGCAUUCCAUUCCGGGUGAAAUCACCGAAACUACUAUCACUGUAACCUGAAUUAGCCACGCUGUUAUCAGCAUCAGAAUCCAAGAUUUUGUCAUCAUUAUUAUUAUCAAUUACCACAGACCCUUUGUCUUCAAUGUCAACUUGUUCUCCCUGUUAACACCAAUCACAGAAAACAGAGUUAAAUCUGAAACCAAAGAUUAAGAUAAAAAUAAACCCAUCAACCAAAUUCAGAUAAAAACCAAUGCAAAUUAACAGAAACAGUGCUUUUCUCAUCAAGAACACCCAAUAACAGCAAAUUAAACUAAAGAGAAAAAGAAAAAGAACAUAAUAAUCAAGAAAAGAAAAGAAAUUACCUGGAAGAUUGGGAUCUGAUGAGGAGUUUUUUCCAAGUAUUGAUUGGUUAACAUGAUUAAUUCCUAAAGAAGAAGAAAAAAUAUAUACAGAAUUUGAAAAAAAAAAAAAAAAAAAGCUAAAAGGAGCGGUUAUCCAAUCCUUGUAUAGUCUGUACACACAGAGAAAGAGAUGGGUAUCUACAGAGAUAUGUAACUGUAAGCAUGGAGCAGCCCGUUUCUAGUUAUUUAUACACAGAAACUUCGGUUCUUUUGGCGGUAACAUUUUCGUGUUGCGGUUUCUAGAUCUAAUCCAAGUCGGAGUUGGAUUUGAAGGAGGCGGGUCUAAUUCCUUUCUUGUCCUUGUUGAAUUUGGGUUUGUUCAAGAAGCCUCUGGAAAGUACAAAAAUACCCUAAAAUGUUUGUCCAAAAAGUAACGGAAUCUUGAACAAAAAGUCAAAAUGAUACACGGUUAAGAAAACUAUUACAGAAUCUCCCAGUAGAUGAAUUUGAAGCUCAAUUUUGGCAAUUCUCGUUGCUGUCUUAUCUCUCAGCAGUAACUAUAUCCAUCACCAAAAAAAAAAAAAUAAAAAAAAUACAGAUCAUAAAUAAUUUCUGUAAAAUUAUUUUAUUUUAGCUAGAGAGCAUAAAUUUAUAUUUCUAUCUAUAUUAUAUAUAAAAGUAGAAAUGAAGAAGAAUAAUAAGAUUUUUUAUAUUAUUCUUGUAAAAUUUAAAAUACACUAAAAGUCAAUUGGAAAAUUUUAAUAUAUAUAUAUAUAUAUAAUUUGGUUGGAUAUUUUUUAACUUUUUUUAAUAGAUAAAUAUAUACGGAUAACUAAGCAUUUGAAAAUUUAAAAUUUUACCAUUAUUAUCUUAUUAUGUUUUAUUUCAUUAUAUUAUUAUAUGAAUUAUUAAUAAUAAUAUAUUUUUAAUAAUUUAUUAUUAUUAUUAUUUAUUAUUUACUAUUAUUUUAAUUUAUCAUCAACAUUAUUAUUUUAAAUAAAUAUAUGUAAAUAUGAGGCAUUUAAAAUUUUUAUUUUUUUCAAGUUCAUUUUAAAUAAAUAUAUCUAGAUAAUUAAGAUUUUGAUUUAAAAAGGAUAUGGUUAAAUUUCUUACUUACAAAUUACACUCUAAUUUGAUUGGCCAAAAAUAAGAUAAAAAGUAUUAUUUUUAAAUAUCUUGAAUUUGAUUAAUUAUAUUGAUAUCUUAUUUAAUUCAAAUCAUAUUCUUUCUAUUAAGGAAUAUAAUUUUAUUAAUAAAAUUUUUAAAAGAUUUCAUGAUUUUGAUUGACUAAAAAAUAAAAUAAAAUUAUUACUAUUUACAAAUAUUUAAUUUAAUUUAUUAGGUUAGCUUCUUAUUUUAUUGUUAAAGUAUAUUUAUUUACUAAAAGAGAUUAUAGUGAAAGUUACUAGCAAACUGUUAAAUUAAUUAUAAAACGUAAAAUAAAAGUUAUAUGAUGAUUUUUAUAAAUUAAUGUGGUACUAAACAAACAAUAAAAGCAACUAGCAUGUUGAAGAGAAUAUAAAUGAUUUUAGGAUUAUUAUUGAUUUUGGAAUUAUUUCUUUUAUAAAAAAUAAUUAAAAUUGAUUAUCGAACUAAUAAAAUAAGUUGCAUAAAAUUGAGUGAAGUCAAAAUUUUCAGUAAAUUUUAUCUCUAUUUUUCUCUACAACUACUUGUUUAAUCUUUUACUUUAUUUUCUGUAUUUUAAUUUUUUAAAUAAAUUUUCUUUAUUGUCAUUUAAAUAAUAGUAGGUUAAAAUAAUUUUGUUAACUUAGUAAAAAUUCUCAUAUGAAUGAUAAUAUAUUCAGUGCUCUAUUACUUAUUACGAUUUCAUGCAAUUAUGAAAUUGCACAGCAAAUCGGAUAAAAUUAUUAUCUCUAAUUAGUAACUAAAUUAGAUUAAAGUUGAUUGGUCGAAGAAUGAGUCAUGAGAACGUAUAAAUUUUGUGUUGGGUAUUUAGGUUACUUCCAAAUGCAAGUUUAUGUGUGGUUAUCUUAAGACAUGCAUCUUGUGUGAGAAGACAAACAACUCCUUUUUACAAGAAAAAUACACACAGCCAAACUUCGGCUGCUUGGAUAGACUCGUUUUUGUCACGACACUUGUUAAAUUAGAUUAAUUUAAAAAUUAAAUAAUUAUAUAAAAGGUCGGUUUGAGAAUGCACUGUUGUCUUUAUAAUUUUAAUUGACUUUUGGUUUUCAACCACAAAUUAUUUACUAUUUGUGGAAAAUAUAUAGUGGAAUUGGUUCGAUUGUUUAAAUUUCAAAUUGUGUUUUAUCUAAUUUACUUAUCAUGAAUUUAAAAAAAAAAAAAAAAAAAGAAGACACUUAAUAUAUCUCAAUCAAUAAAAUAAUAAAAAGUAGAAAAAAAAAAAUUACCUGAUGUCUUUGAUCUUCUUUUAUUCUUGAUAGGCAAAGAAAAUGUAUUAAAAUACUGAUAGCAGUUUGCAAAAAGCUCUUACAUCCAACCGAUGGAAUCAGUCGAGCAUUGAGAAAAUUAUUAGCUAUCAGCUGUUGAUUCGAAUCAUUACCGGACACUUGUAAUCCAAUUGUUUGGCCUCAAUCAACGAUUAGCUAUAUGAAAAAAUUGAACCAAAUGCCUUUAUAUAUAAAAAAGGAGUCAAUUGACCCUUUUUUUUAAUUUUCUAAUAUAUAUGUAUAUUUGUCUAAAUUAAUUGAAGUUCAAUUUAUUUAUAUCUUUCACCGAAACUUCGGUUCUUUUGGUAAUGAAAAUAUGAAAUCGUUAACUAAUUAUCUUUCUUUUUUAGAGAAGAAAAGGAAGCCCUAAACUCAUGGUGAUUGACCUAAUCCCUGAAGUAGGCAGGCUCCAAACUUGACCUAGAUAUUGUUCUUUCCCGAUUCCUGCCACAAAUAUUAACGGCAUUGUCUCCUCUUUUUCUGCAAAAACAAAUUAAUUACCACUAUCUGCAACAAAUCACACUGCUUUAAUGUGACAAAGGAUGAAUUGGAAGUGGGGUUAGAUUAGAAAAAGGAAAAGGAAAAGGAAAAUGAAUUAGGAUCCAUAUCUGGUGCUGAGAGUUGAAAAUUAGAUUAGAAAAAGAAAGAAGAAGGUGGAAGAGUAGUUGAAAAGUGAAAAGGCAAGUAGGCUUUUACUGCAAAAACUUUUCGGCCAACCCAACAACCAAACUAGUCUUUGAUUGAGCAAAGAAGAUUCUUUGGCCGCUACACAACGUAGAAAAUGGAACCAAAGUCCUACGUGUUUCUUUUUUGAGGUUUGAAACUUCAUGUCCCGACACAUUGAUUUUCGUUUUCCUACCAUUAAAUUACAAUACAUUUCUGCCUCUGUUGAAGAUUCUUAAUUACAACAUCUAUUAAUUAAGUAAACCUGCAACUCUAAAUCAAUGCUAUCUUAUUAAAUUCUUCCCUUCCAUUGCACUCUUAUUUCAUCAUUAAUAAAAAUAAUAAAUACAGAAUUAAAAAAAAAAAAAAAAAAAAGCUAAAAGGAGCGGUUAUCCAAUCCUUGUAUAGUCUGUACACACAGAGAAAGAGAUGGGUAUCUACAGAGAUAUGUAACUGUAAGCAUGGAGCAGCCCGUUUCUAGUUAUUUAUACACAGAAACUUCGGUUCUUUUGGCGGUAACAUUUUCGUGUUGCGGUUUCUAGAUCUAAUCCAAGUCGGAGUUGGAUUUGAAGGAGGCGGGUCUAAUUCCUUUCUUGUCCUUGUUGAAUUUGGGUUUGUUCAAGAAGCCUCUGGAAAGUACAAAAAUACCCUAAAAUGUUUGUCCAAAAAGUAACGGAAUCUUGAACAAAAAGUCAAAAUGAUACACGGUUAAGAAAACUAUUACAGAAUCUCCCAGUAGAUGAAUUUGAAGCUCAAUUUUGGCAAUUCUCGUUGCUGUCUUAUCUCUCAGCAGUAACUAUAUCCAUCACCAAAAAAAAAAAAAUAAAAAAAAUACAGAUCAUAAAUAAUUUCUGUAAAAUUAUUUUAUUUUAGCUAGAGAGCAUAAAUUUAUAUUUCUAUCUAUAUUAUAUAUAAAAGUAGAAAUGAAGAAGAAUAAUAAGAUUUUUUAUAUUAUUCUUGUAAAAUUUAAAAUACACUAAAAGUCAAUUGGAAAAUUUUAAUAUAUAUAUAUAUAUAUAAUUUGGUUGGAUAUUUUUUAACUUUUUUUAAUAGAUAAAUAUAUACGGAUAACUAAGCAUUUGAAAAUUUAAAAUUUUACCAUUAUUAUCUUAUUAUGUUUUAUUUCAUUAUAUUAUUAUAUGAAUUAUUAAUAAUAAUAUAUUUUUAAUAAUUUAUUAUUAUUAUUAUUUAUUAUUUACUAUUAUUUUAAUUUAUCAUCAACAUUAUUAUUUUAAAUAAAUAUAUGUAAAUAUGAGGCAUUUAAAAUUUUUAUUUUUUUCAAGUUCAUUUUAAAUAAAUAUAUCUAGAUAAUUAAGAUUUUGAUUUAAAAAGGAUAUGGUUAAAUUUCUUACUUACAAAUUACACUCUAAUUUGAUUGGCCAAAAAUAAGAUAAAAAGUAUUAUUUUUAAAUAUCUUGAAUUUGAUUAAUUAUAUUGAUAUCUUAUUUAAUUCAAAUCAUAUUCUUUCUAUUAAGGAAUAUAAUUUUAUUAAUAAAAUUUUUAAAAGAUUUCAUGAUUUUGAUUGACUAAAAAAUAAAAUAAAAUUAUUACUAUUUACAAAUAUUUAAUUUAAUUUAUUAGGUUAGCUUCUUAUUUUAUUGUUAAAGUAUAUUUAUUUACUAAAAGAGAUUAUAGUGAAAGUUACUAGCAAACUGUUAAAUUAAUUAUAAAACGUAAAAUAAAAGUUAUAUGAUGAUUUUUAUAAAUUAAUGUGGUACUAAACAAACAAUAAAAGCAACUAGCAUGUUGAAGAGAAUAUAAAUGAUUUUAGGAUUAUUAUUGAUUUUGGAAUUAUUUCUUUUAUAAAAAAUAAUUAAAAUUGAUUAUCGAACUAAUAAAAUAAGUUGCAUAAAAUUGAGUGAAGUCAAAAUUUUCAGUAAAUUUUAUCUCUAUUUUUCUCUACAACUACUUGUUUAAUCUUUUACUUUAUUUUCUGUAUUUUAAUUUUUUAAAUAAAUUUUCUUUAUUGUCAUUUAAAUAAUAGUAGGUUAAAAUAAUUUUGUUAACUUAGUAAAAAUUCUCAUAUGAAUGAUAAUAUAUUCAGUGCUCUAUUACUUAUUACGAUUUCAUGCAAUUAUGAAAUUGCACAGCAAAUCGGAUAAAAUUAUUAUCUCUAAUUAGUAACUAAAUUAGAUUAAAGUUGAUUGGUCGAAGAAUGAGUCAUGAGAACGUAUAAAUUUUGUGUUGGGUAUUUAGGUUACUUCCAAAUGCAAGUUUAUGUGUGGUUAUCUUAAGACAUGCAUCUUGUGUGAGAAGACAAACAACUCCUUUUUACAAGAAAAAUACACACAGCCAAACUUCGGCUGCUUGGAUAGACUCGUUUUUGUCACGACACUUGUUAAAUUAGAUUAAUUUAAAAAUUAAAUAAUUAUAUAAAAGGUCGGUUUGAGAAUGCACUGUUGUCUUUAUAAUUUUAAUUGACUUUUGGUUUUCAACCACAAAUUAUUUACUAUUUGUGGAAAAUAUAUAGUGGAAUUGGUUCGAUUGUUUAAAUUUCAAAUUGUGUUUUAUCUAAUUUACUUAUCAUGAAUUUAAAAAAAAAAAAAAAAAAAGAAGACACUUAAUAUAUCUCAAUCAAUAAAAUAAUAAAAAGUAGAAAAAAAAAAAUUACCUGAUGUCUUUGAUCUUCUUUUAUUCUUGAUAGGCAAAGAAAAUGUAUUAAAAUACUGAUAGCAGUUUGCAAAAAGCUCUUACAUCCAACCGAUGGAAUCAGUCGAGCAUUGAGAAAAUUAUUAGCUAUCAGCUGUUGAUUCGAAUCAUUACCGGACACUUGUAAUCCAAUUGUUUGGCCUCAAUCAACGAUUAGCUAUAUGAAAAAAUUGAACCAAAUGCCUUUAUAUAUAAAAAAGGAGUCAAUUGACCCUUUUUUUUAAUUUUCUAAUAUAUAUGUAUAUUUGUCUAAAUUAAUUGAAGUUCAAUUUAUUUAUAUCUUUCACCUUUCUUUUUUCAAAAAAAUUAUAUAUUAACUCCGAAGAAAAAUAUUUCUACAUCCACCAAUGAUAUUAGCAAUAUAAAUUUAUUCUUUUUAAUUAUUAUAUUUCAUGUUUUGAAAUUUCUAGAAAUCAAAACGUGAUUCAGAUAGUUUCGAAGGCAGUAUCAAAUCAACUCACGUUUAUAGGUUUCAUAUUCAAUACAAUAAAUUAUUUCAAAAAAAUCAAAAUUUGCAGACAAAGGAAGAAGGAAAAUAAAUUAUUAAUUUAGUUCCGGUAAUUAUAAUAAAUAGAUAAUUUAAAUUUACAAAGCUUAAUAAGGAAACUAAUCCUUAAAAAAAGGGAAAAAACGAAAAUUGAAGACACAAAAGAUCUAAAAUAUAUGUGAAUAUGAAACCUAAAUUGAUUUGAUUUAAUACUACCUUCAAAACUAUCUCGGUCACGUUUUCAUUUCUGAAAAUUUCGAAACAUGAAACAUGAUAAUAAAAAAAAUACAUUUAUAUUACUAAUAUAAGUGACGGAUGUAGAAAUUUUUUUUUUUUCGGAGUCAAUAUAUAAUUUUUUGAAAUAAGAAGGGUGGAAGAUAUGAAUAAAUUGAGCCUUAUGAAUUAAUUUAGACAAAUAUAGAUGUAUAAUAGAAAAUAAAAAAAGGGAGCAAUUUACUCCAUAGCCGCAUCUUUGUUAGCCCAAAAAUCCUAGGAGAUAGAGACGACAAGUAAUACUAAGAGUGCCUCCCAUCUAUGGUUAAGAAUUAGACGAGAGACUAAUUCAUUUCGGGCUAGGUAACAACUAUAUUGGGUGAUAUGGUAUUUUUUUUAUAUAUAUAUAAUAUACAAGUAGUCAAAUUUUUUGAUAAAUCUAAGAAAAGAAUAAAAUUUUGGCAUAAAUUUUUAACAGUCUCACUCAGUACUACCGUCGCUAAUCCAUAAUCUACUUUCCCGAAAUCUCCGUAACCGCAUGCACCACCGACAGAGUCACAUAGGUUGAAGGCUACAUAAUAAGUUUAAGUUACAUAUACGAAUGGUCAAUCACUCGAAGAGAAGAAUAGAGUGUGGUUAAGGAGGAGAGAUAGCGGUGAUAAUGGUGAUAUUUAUUUUGAAUAGUGAUAUUUCUAAGACAACCUUAAGAGAAGACGAAUCGGAAGUCGGAGAAAAAAAUAAUAUAAUCUAAAGAUGAACUCAUUUUAUUCUCUUUUUCUCUGAAUAAGUGAUAUUUUUAAGACUAUCUUAAGAGAAGACGAAAUGGAAACUGAAGAGAAGAAUAAGAAAAUCUAAAGAUGAACUCAUUCUAUUCUCUUUUUCUUCGAGUCAUUAUGAUUUACGUAUUUAUUAUACGCGUUUUUUCUAAUCUAGCAAGGUGUAUAAUUAUUAAAGAAAAGAGAAGUACAAUGACAUAAAGGUCCUCGUAAAAUUUAGGUAGCCACAAGACAAGCGUGUCAAUAGGAACAAAUUUAUACAUUAAAUUGAUCAUUAAAAUUAUAUAUAUAUAUAUAUAUUGAGAAAAUUAAAUUUUAUCUAUUCACACUUUAAUUUAUAAGGUUUGAAUAUAUUCUUAUAAAAUAUUUAAUUAUUGUAUAGAUAUUAAUAAACUAGCAAAUUUAAUCUGUUAAAUCAUCAACACUAAAAUUUACUUUACAAUAAAUAUAAAUAUAUAUUGUAUUUUCAAUUCAUAAUCAAAUUAUUGAUGUCGAAGAAAAUAUAUUUUCUAAAAUUCUUAAAAAUUAAACUUUAUAUUUGUAAUUAAUAUGUAAAAUGUUUACUAUUUGAAUAAAAAAUUUAUAAUAUAAUCGGUGUAAUAGGAAUAGACUAAUUUCAAAAAUAAUUGAGAUUAUGAAGGGCUAGAAAUGUGAAAACUUAUAUCUUUUCGAUAAUCUAUGCUACAUAUACAUUUGGGAAUUGGGGGAAUAAUGAAAUUUUCGGUAAUAGUCUUAUUUUAAUUUGGAAUUUCUAAUAUAUCAUUUUAGUUAAAAUUUGUAUGCAUUCUAAUUGAAGAACAUAAGUCUAUUUAUCCUUUUGAAGAUCUUUUUUCAGUUAUAUUUUUUAUGUCUUUUAAUUUGAGAAAAUAAAUUUCAUUUAUCAUUUUAAAUAUCCUUUUAUUUAGAUUUGUUUAUGUAUUUUAAUUUGAGAAAAUAUGUAUAUUUAUAUUCUCUGAUUGAUCUUGCAACAUUAUUGUCCAAUGAUUUUUAUAAUUAAUAGAUUUUAAUGUUCUUAUUUAUAGGUUCACACGUGAUGUUAUUUUCUAGAGGUAAAUCGAAAACCUUAAUUCAAAUAUUGAAAAGGAAACUUAAAUUCUUUUAAUUUAUUAUGUUCUGAAUUCUUUAAAAUAUGGUUAAACACUUUACUAUUAGAGUCUACUAUUAAUAAAUAUAUUCUUUCUCUUUAUUUUUUGGAUAGGAGUUUAUUAUUAAUAAAUAUAUUCUUUCUCUUUGUUUUUUGGAGAGAAUGGUGUGCACUUAUGUGAAUUAUUUUACACAUUAUUAUAUUUUAUAAUUUUUUACAAUCUUAAUUUAACAAAAAUAAUAGAAGUAUGAAAUUAGAGUAUUUGAUUAAUACAUCAAGUAAUAAAGUUUUUCAUUUUUUAGUCUAAUGAAAUCUUUUUUGAAAAAUAGGCUAUAAAAGUUUGAAUUAAUGAAAGAAAUAGCUAUUGGCAUAUUUGCUGUCAUUUUUAUUUUUACUUUUUCUAUAUUAAGGAUGAAACAAAGAAAAAAAAUUAAAGAACUUUCUUUUUAUUCUUAAUUUUUUGAAAUUUACCGAAUUUCAUUUUAUUUUUCUAUGAUUUAAUUAGAUAUAUUUUUUAAAAUAGAGAUAAAGAUAAUUAUGCCUUUGAGAGUUUAAUUUUUUUCCAAAUAUUUUUUAAAUAAAUAUAUAAGACUUUAAAAUUUUUGAAUUUAAUCUCAUUUACAUCUAUCUAUAAAUUGUUAUCUGCAUAUUGAUUCCUACGUGGAGCUGAUAAUUUUAAACAAUUUUUUUUUGGAUUUUGCGUAAAGACACCGAGUUUAAAAUAUUACAUGCUAUUGACAAAAAUAAUUGACGUGAAGAUCAAAUUUAUAUUUUACAUCAUAAGAUAUGUUAAAAAAUAUUCAUUAUAUAUAUAAGUCUUAUAUAAAAAGUGCAAUAUAAA